rnacentral:lncRNA from 1 species
UCCCUCAUGAAUGCCGUCCUGACCCAAGGAUUCUUAGACUUAACCCAAAGCUGAUGUGGGAGGAAGCACAUGAACCUCUACAUGGAGGCAUCGACACAAAACCUUGUGGGGUGGGACCGGGGAUGUCAUUUGCAAAUUCAGUGCUGGAAAGAGAUCCUUGCCUCGGGUUGAUCGGUUUGGUCCCCUGUGCUCCUGGUGGAACCAAUAUAACCGAGUGGAAACAAGGCUCCGAUCUUUAUUAUCGGCUCUUGAAGAGAGCUAAUGCAGCACUACGAGAUGAAGGAGAAAUUAGAGCAAUUCUGUGGUAUCAAGGUGAAAGUGAUUCUGCAGAUGAAACAAGAGCUAAAAUGUAUAAGAAGAGGUUGAUAGAAUUUUUCCUUGACAGCCGGUGAGAUUUACCUUCCCCUGUGCUCCCAAUUAUUCAGGUAUGGCUUUGCAAAAUUUCCGUAAGGUGAACUGAUAUUCUUUAGAUCUGGUUUGAUUUUUCGUCCUAUUUUCUUAAUCAACCAAAUGGGGUUUUAAUUUUGGAUCAAAUUGAUUUUUUCAGGAUCUUUUCGAUUACUCAUUCUCUUUGCACUCUGCAUUUUAAUUCCGUUGAUCAACCUAUGCCGUUGGUCUGGUUUUUCACUUUCGUUUCUGACAACAUUGUGGUAAUUUUAGAUUUCCCACUAAAAAUGGGGUUUUCAGUUCGUCAUCAAUGAGUUUUCAUCUGAAAAUGUGCUGAAAUUAGUUGCUAACUGGUUUUAUUGUAUUUAUGCUUAAUGGUUUCGGGGGCAUUUUUGUACAACUUUUUGAAGUUUUGUUAAAAUGACAAAGUAUUUGUUUUCAUUUUCCAGUGAUUCUCAUAAAUAUGUCAAUUAAUUGUAUCUUGUCAGCACAAGGAAUAUUUUAUAUCGAAUAAAUCAUAAAAUUAUAUGAUAAUUGGUUGCAGGUGGCAUUGGCUUCAAAUGCAGGGCUCUAUUACGAGGUUGUAAGAAAGGCCCAACUAGAGAUAAAACUUCCAAAUGUAAUAUGUGUUGAUGCCAAGGGACUGGAGGUGAAGAAAAACGAUACACUUCAUCUUACUACUUCAGCCCAAGUCCACCUAGGAAAAAUGUUGGCUAAUGCCUUUUUCGAUAUUGGAAUUUAUAGUGUUUUGAUCAAGGCAUGGGUGGAAAAAACAUAUUAAAUGGGUAAUAUAGUGCUUGUUUGAUAUAGAUUUUUAGCAAACAAUACUAUAUGAAAAUUGUUAAAAGACAAUCAUUGAAAUAGUAGUUAGUGAGAGAGAGAGAGAGAGAGAAAAAAAAAAACCUCGUACAAAUUGUUGCGUAUUCGUUGCAAAAGACAAAAUUCGUUGUCGAAUGGACAAAUAUUUUCUUAAUCAAAAAAUCAACAGUACAAAGAAUUAUUUUUGAAAACUGAAGUUGAAGUUACACUUAAGGAAACCCAUUGUUGCCAAGUUGAGUUGAAGAGUUCUACCCCAUCAGGCUUUCAAUUUACUACCUCAUUCGAUUACUUUUUUAAACUUGUUUAGGUGCCUAUAUAAUAUUGUUGAGCAAAUGUUUAAUAUGGAAGGAGCUUGUGUAAUUACCUAUAUAAUUUUGUUGAACAAAUGUUUAACUUGGUAGAGGCCUGUCGAGAAAUUAAUGAUAAUUACUAUAGAUGAUUUUCACCUGAAAUAAAACAUUUGAAGCUUUUAACAGCAAUGAACACGUGUCAAUCAAGAAGACAAAAUUAUCAUGAGAUUUACAUCGGUGCUAUCCAACCAAGGAAUACACAAAUGUAUCUUUGAACUUUUACUUAAUAUUUAUUUUUUCCCAAAUUUUUGGAAAGUUUUCAAUUUAUUUAAAUAUUUAAAAGCAAUAAAGGCGUACGAAUAUAACAAGAAGCUGACUCGCAAGUCAACUAACCCCCAAACUGAUAGAUACAUUGUCCGAAUGUAAGAACAAAAAUAAGUUAAGGAUUAAUAGAAAUACUUCCCAUGUUAUAUUAUGAUCCAUCUCUAUGGCGUGUAGCCAAGAAUUGAUUGGUGCGACAUAGUUUCACCCCAAACUUAAACUGCUUUCAUAGUCCCAAACACGUGGGUAUCUGUUCACGAAAUAUUUCUUUCAAUUUGUUUUCACAAGUGCACUGUUCACAACAAGUAAUAAAUCGAAAAUUGAGUUCGAAUGUCGUCCCACAGAGAUUAAGUAACCUAACUUUAUCUAUCUUAGCCUUAAUCGAAAACCAAAUUAUCCAACAAGAUAAAUGUGAUUUGAUUAACCCUAACCUAUAUUAAAUAUGCAAUCGAAUGUGAAUUUAAUGAACUAAAAUGCAAAGUUGCAUUUUAAAUGCACGAUUGAUGUAAUUAGUGAAUGGAAAGUGCACUAGGAUCACGAAUCCCAAGCAAUCCUCACUUUUGACCCUAGUUCCACAAUUUGACAACACGUUAAAUUUUUUAAAAAUCAAUGCUCUUAAAUCUAUUCAACAAUCUUUUUUGAGUAAUGUUGAACCUAUUCUCAUUUACCAUCAGCCUAUAUUUCUAUAAUGGGUACAACUAUACAAGAAUGCAUGUGGUUUUGUGAGCACUUAAAGAUUCUCACAAGACAUAAAAGUAUAUGUCUGUCCCCUAUCGAAUCCUAUGAUGAUUUAUUCCCUGUUGAACUUAUUCACCUUCUCUCCAAUGUAUGAAAUAAGUUACCACACUCGCAUAAUUACGUGCACAUAAUCAUGGAAGACAUUAAUUGUAUAUAAAUCAUUCAACGAUUCAUAACAAGUUUUGAUGUCAAAAUUGCAAACUAGAAGUUAAACAGUUAUAUCACAAUGUUCAUCGGUCUCCUAGCCCAUAAAAAUCUAGCAUAGUAUGGUGGAAGUAAGAAAACAAAACGAAUUUUGAAGAAGCGACAUCAUCCAAUUAAUUGUUGAUUUGAAUCUUCACGUCUACGUGUUUCUUCCUCAUUCUAUGCUCUCAAAAUCCUUGGGAAUAGGUUAGAAUGCGUGGUUAGGGACGGCCCUAGGGUUGUAAAACACCUCUCAAGAUUUGUUUCCAUAAGAAUUUUAGUUAGAUAAGGAAACUAGAUUUUUUUCGCCACGAUUGGCCUAGGCAGUCACCUAGUUAUACAUUUUUGCCUCCGUAAUUGUUCCUUGAUGUUGGAUAGUCGCCCAGUUUAUAAAAACUUCUAAAUGUUGCAUUUUAGUUCUUGAAUUCAAUUUUUGAUACUUUCAAAUCCUUUCUUUUGCAAUUUCAACCCUUUGACUUUUAAUUGCAUCCAACUGAACUCGCAACAUCUUCAAUCCUCAUUUUGUGGUCCGAAUCAACUAUUGAAAUGUUACAAUUUAGCCCUCAUACUUUGAAUUUCCCCCUUUUUCUUUUCCAAUUGCUUAGAAACAAGUUCAUCACUGAAAUAAACAAAAAUUUACCUAUAUUAAGUAAAAAUAACACUUUCAUGACAUAAAAGCUUAGUAAUAUGGUCCAAAUAAAUGCAUACAAUGCACUUAUGAGUCCCUAAGAAAAUAAUAACGAAUACAUUAUUUUUAGGAUGACAAUCAAUUAGAUAAAUUCAGUUUGAAUAAAAAUAAAUUAAAUUAAAAUAAAAACAACUACAGUAUGAAUUCAAAAAUAUCACUCUUUUGGAUUGAUGAUGAAACCUAAAACCACCACCAUCACCACUUAAAAAAUAUAUAUAAAUAAAACAAGUAUUUGGAGAUAUUUACUUAUUCAAUCUAUAUUUCAUUUUCAGUGUUCGUUCGAUAUCGAUCGUAAAUUUUUAUUUUUUUUAAUAGAUGAGUUGUAUUUUGGUUCGUUUCGCUCGCACUAAUUUAUUAUAAAUAUUUUCAUUUGUGUUUUCAAUAUGCUAUAACUUCUUCUUCUUCUUCUUCUUCUUCUUCUUCUAUUUUUUUUUCCACCCUGAGUCAAUGACCUUGUAAGAAUUCACUACCACUUGAACUAGAUUUGUUGUCGAAUAUGCUAUCAACUUAAUUACUUCAUACGAAGGAUGUUUUGACCUUUAGUAUUAAAUUAAAGGGCGUGGUAGGGAUACUUUAUGGGAGGUACAUCCAAUCAUUAAUAAUUUGAACUCCAUUUUUGUGAAUAUAAAGUAAGAUAAAAAUUUUGAAACAUGAUUAUUAGCUCCCCUAGAAAAUUGAAUGUGAAUUCGUUUAUAACCAUUCAUUCACCUUUAACAAUAUGUGCACUAUGCCAUUAGCCUCCAAAUCUUAUCAAAGGAAUUUAUGUAUUGAGAAUGGAAAUAUUCUAUUCAAACAACCUUGAUUGAUGGAGAAUAUGAAUGGAAGCACAACACCGCUUUUGAUAUAUUGAUCGAAUAAAGAGACACAAAAGCCGCUUUUAAAUCUAUUUGGCUAAUUUUUUGAACGUGUUUCUUUUAGUUAGAUUUUAGAGGAAACUAGUCCAACGUGGCUCCUCUAAAAUUUCUUUCGGAAUAAGAAGGUCUUUAAAAAAUAGUUUCGAAACAAAAAUUAUGUAAUUAUUUCGUUAAUAUAGGAUUUAACAUUGUUUUUCACUAUUCUCAUUGUAAGAAGACCAUAAUGGGUUACAAAUACACAUAAAAGAUGCCAGAAUAUACAUCAUAACUAAUAAACAAACAAACAACUAAGCCAGCAGUGGAAUCUAUUCUCGACUAAGCCAACAAAAGGGCUAUAAAAUUAUCAGCGUGUAUAUGGUUAUAACUGUACAAGACAAGAGCAUUAACACAUUAAUGUCAAAAAAGGAUGCUUUCUCUCAACUAAAAGGCUAAAAAAUGUCCAAGAAAAAAAGCAUGACUAGUAAAGUCCCCAAAAAAACAGAAAAUUUCUAAACAAUCAAGAUGAUACACAAAAUUAUGAAUGUUGCAUGAAUACACGAGGCUAAAGGAAAUUGCAAAGGUGAUCAAGAGACCAUUUCUUAGAUAGAAGAAAAUGGAGUUGAUUCAGCAGUUCCACAAAUGUCAAUAAUUUGGAAUUAAUUUCCACCAAAUACUACACAUACUUAAAUAUAAAUGAAAAGGGGGAAAAAGAUUUUUGCUUGCUUACCAGAAGAGAGCAAAGGAAGAACGUAGAAAAUGCAAGCCCCCUAGGGCAUAGCCUAGUGCUACAAAGGACAGGAGUGAGGUUAUCUCACGCUUUGCUGGCAGUCACAGUGUGGGGGUUCGAUUCCUGAAACAUGGAAUUGGACUCCUUGUAGGCACAGUGUAUAUGCAGCUCUUGUUCCCUGACAUGUUGGAACACAUCCCGUGAUUUACGUCCCUUACAAAGCUUUAGGGGCGGUAGGGGCCCUCAAGGUUGGUGUUCAACCUUUAGAAAAUGCAAAGAUGAUGUGAUUUGAUGGGGACAGGGGUGGGAAGACCUUUGGUCGCAAACGGUGAGAUGGUAGAUUUCUGCCUUGAAAAGUUUGGGAUUAAUUAAUAAGAAUAGCGAAAGUUCCACAAAAGAUGCUAGUGCAUGUUUAGUCUUAUUUGUUAAGAAUUUAUUCUUGUUUUGUCAAAGUGAAUUUUCGAAAAAUGAGUGGUUAAAAAAAUAAAAAAAAAAGAUUAAUGUGCUAUUUAAUAAAAGAAUGUAUGUUUGAAAAUUAAUUUUGAAAAAAAUAUAUUUUUGGGAAAAAUAGAGCCAAAAUAGGGGCUUAGUCCUGAAUUCUUUCCGAACUAUGUGGUCUGCAAAGCACCCAACAAUCAUUUGAGAAUGAUAAGAAAAGCUAAAUGAAAAAUCUAGUUAAAUAAUUUGCAUUAUCUCGUACAUUUCUUGUUCUUUCAUGUAUAAACUGUGACCAAACUUUAAAAGUUUAACUUAAAUUUGCACCAACUCUUGAAAUAAUGCAUGACAUUUGAACAUUUUCCAAUGUUGGAAGAAGGACAAUCAAUUUAUUUCAUCUUACAUUUUCAAUUUAGAAAAAGGGAAAUCAAUUAUUUCAUCUUAACAAUUCAUUCACCAAAUUUCGUACGGAACGAAUUCUUCCAAUUGAUUUUCUUUUCUUUUCAAAAUUGAUACAUUUUCAAUUAUGAGAUGUUUUUGGUGAAAAUCCUCGAAAGAAAAUAAAAGGGACCAAGCUAGGGUAACAUAACGGUUGACAUAGGGAAUGACCGAACACACAGCUUAGGGGUCGGGCCUUAUUUUAUUCACGUGGGACCCGUGCACUUUGUGAGGGGUCGAUCAUCUCGAGUGUCAAACAUUUUCGGGAAAAGUAACAUUUUUCAACUAAAAAAGUUGCUAACAUCUUAAAAAUAGGUUAGGCAUCUUUUUACUAUUAAAAAUAAAUUUAAGCAUUCAAUUUAUGUUAGGUCAACUUCAUUUUGUCACAUGACCUUUGUACUCGGAAUAUUUUAAGAUAGGGAAAAAAUGUGUGCGUAUGUGUGUGUGUGGAGAAAAACAAUACAUAUUUUAUGGAAUAAACUUCAAAAUCGAAGAAAAAUUAAAGACUAUCGAAGACUUAUCUAAUAUAAUAAGAAAUUAUUCCAAAUAUAUAUAAUUUCUCGAUCUCCCUACCCGUCAAUUAUCACACAACAUAUGCUUUGCCACACCCACAAUAUUUUUCAUUCGAAUAAACAACAAAGACAACUAGAAUACUAGCUUAACAAUAGACUAAUUUUUUUGCUUAUACAUGAAAGAAAACCAAACUUGUCAAGUUACAAAUGAAGUGCGACCAAACUUUAACAGUUUAACCAAAAUUUGCUCCAACUUAGCUGAAAUAAUGCAUGGCUUCAGCCAAAUAUUCUUUUGCAAUGCCAUACCAACUUUUGAACAUUUUCCAAAGUAAAAAAAAGGGAAUUCAUCUUUAAAACAAAACUCUUUGAUUCUUAUACUCAUUUUAACUACAUUUACUUAAUAAAAUAUUUUGCAUGUAAACUCAAAACUUUUCCGUAAUUUUCAAUCACAUAUUGUCCAAAAAAUAUUGCUAUUCAAGAAUUAAGUUUUUCAAAAAAUGGCUAUCAAACGGGGUUUAUAAAGAGUAUCGUAUAUAUAGUAGAGAGUACCUUUAAAUUUAUUGAGAAAAAACUUAAUCACUCUAAUAGUUAUCUUUAUUUCGACUCUUCAUUUCGUAUAUUUGAAAACUAUUUAUUUGUGUUUUUCCAUCCUUUAUUUAACAUAUUUUUUAUAUGUCAGUAGCCAAUCAAUUCAAAUAUGAUUGAAUAAUUUAAGAAAUAUAAUUUGUAGCUUAUUAAAUGAUAUCUUUAUAAAAUGAAAACAAAGAGUAGAUUUGACUCUAGAGUAAAACUCCCUCUCUAUUUUAUAAAGAUAGAAUAGUGAGUGUUUAAAAUAGAGAGUGUCUUAUGUUUAGAGAAUUUUUUGGAGAUGUUUUUAUAAGUAAACCGUGACCAAACUUUAACCGUUUAACUUAAAUUUCUCCAAUUCUGUUGAAAUAAAGCAUGGAUUUGCCCAAAUAUUCUUUUCAAAUAGGGUAAUUGACACAAAACAUCCCUACCUUUCAAGUCUAUUGUGGAAAACGUACAUAGCUUUCAUUUUUUGACAUUUUUGCCCUCAUUUCAACCUUUCUUUGCAUUCGAUGUCCUUCUGUCCACAUUCUGUCAGUUUCUCCAUUAAUUGAAUACAAAAACGCCUUUUUCUUUCAUAAACAAGUGUAAAAUUGUCCUUACCCACCUAAACCCCUUCAUCUCCUCAAAGGCGCGACUAUUCCUCUGCGAUUUUCUUCAUGAAACGUCCCACCUUUUCUUCCAUUUGUACAACCUUUCCUCCGUUCACCAUUCAUAUUCUUGCAUUUGAUCUGUCCGUGCAGUGGAAGCAUGCAUUGAGGAUUUUUUAAGUGAGCGAAGGUAAUGUUUUGGGUAUUUUCGUUUUCCAGUUCGUAGUUUGGUGCUUUGCAUGAUUGAGAGUCUAUAUGGAGUUUUGAUACCAUUUAUUGUUGUCAGGCAGACCCUUGAAGAACAACAUGUUUCUUCCAUUUUUGAGAAAUUCUGGCGAUAAUCAACCCAGUUAUGGUAUAGUGUUCUUUCCCUAAAUUUUGUGUGAACUCAUCUGAUUUUAUUGUGCAUUCACACAAUUUCAUUGUGCAAUCCACAAAAUUAUGUCUACUUGAACACAUGCAAUCGGUGUUAUUUGUCAAUGCACAUAUUUCCCUUUGGUGUGCAGUCAGUGCUCUCCAUUUGAUGUCAACUUUAUGCUAUUGCCUGCAGGUGGUAAUUCUGAAUAUUUCAUUAUUGAAGUACAUUAUGGAGGCCAAUUUUAUGAUAACCCAAACAAUGUGGCGUAUAAUGGGGGUUCGUUCUUUUUGUCGACUUCUUUCAUGAUAAAUGGUGUAGGAGAGAGAAUUUACAUAAUUCUUACAUGGAACUUGUGAUAAAAGGGCGUUGGAAUUUUACUAUAAGAAGAAAAAAAUGAGUUUAGGGAAGGAGUUGACGAGAUUGGAGAGUGAAGAGGAUAUUAAUGGAAUGCUUAGGGAUAGGAGUGGACAUGCAGAUACGUCGUAGCCUGAAUGCAAUCAUAUGCAUUGCAAUGGUCUUUACAAGUUGAUGACGAGCAAACAUUUAAAGGCUGUUAUAUACAUUCGGUUGCAAAAAAUGAAGGAGGGGAGCAUGAAGGAAAUUGGUCACAUCAAUUUUUGUAACAGAAUACUGAGGAGUUGUGGUCAUAGUAUGAGGAAACUUUACAAUACUAGAAUGAGAAAAAUACAAACGUGGGUGAUUUGAGUGCGAAGGAGGAUCAAAAUAAAGAACCAAGAGGGGAAGAUGAUGUCGAAGGUUUGGUAGAAUCGGAUUAUGAGAUAGAGCAGGAGCCUAUAGGUACUGCUGAAGUUGGAGUGAAAGGGUUCAUUUUGAUUUCGAAUUUGGUAUAUCCGAUGGGCAGGUUAGGGAUUCGGAUACCGACUAUAGGGACUCCGAUGAUUUACGAAGCAUUCAUAGUGAAGAAGAGGGCGAUACAGUUUCAAGAAAGAGGGUUUUUAUUGAUGCUUUUCAUGUUGGGACAAAUCUGGAGGAUCCAGUGUUUAGAAAAGGUGGCUAGAACAUAUUUUUUACUUCUAUUUUAAACAUGAUUAUGUACUUUAGUUUAAUAAGGUAUGAUAUGCAUUAAUUAUCUUGUUUGUACAUGCUUGAUAUUUGAGUCAAAGGCCACUUUAAAGGCUGCAAUCACUGCAUAUUUAGUUAGAAAGAAUAGAGAGAUUAAGUUCAAAAAGGAUGACGCUCGCACAUUGAGAGCCAAGUGUCAAAGAGAUUGUCCAUGGAGAGGGUUAAGCGGGAUGGUUUAGGUGAUAUCUCACCUUAGCAAGUGUAUAAAUCAAAGGAGAGGGCACUUGAAAAAAUUAGAGGGAGUGUGGUGGAGCAUUACAAAUUACUGUGGAAUUAUUGUGAUGAGUUGAAGAGGACAAAUAUUGGGACCAUGGCUUUGGUUGAGGGGUAUGCUGGAGAAUUCAGACGGCUGCCUUGGAGCAUUGAGAGAUGGUUUCAUUCAGGGUUGGAAAAGGGUGAUUGGGGCAGAUGGUUGCUUUUUGAAGAUAGGGCUUGGUGGCAAGUUGUUGACUGUGGUUGGUGUUGAUGCUAAUAAAGGUAUAUAUUCAAUGGCAUAUGCAGUUGUCGAAGUUGAGAAUGGGAAUAAUUGGAGAUGGUUUUUAAGGUUAUUGAAGGAUGAUUUGCAUAUACACAACAUUUAGUAUUGGACAUUUAUUUUAGAUAAGCUUGCAAGGAUGGAAUGGGCUGAAUACGCAGGCAAUGAAAAGUUUCAAGUUCGACACAAUGCAAGAACUUUUUUACAUGCUGUGGAUUGAAGGGCAAAAACUUGUACAUGUCGUGAUUGGCAAUUAUCAGGAAUUGCAUGUAGCCAUGUGAUUGUCUCCGUUGUAUCUAGAGGUCUGAACAUGAUGGAGUUCGUGGAUGAUAUCUAUAAGAAGGAUGCAUAUAUGAGAACAUAUACGCCGUCAAUUUCUCCCAUCUCAGGUCCGAAGGCAUGACCAACCCUAGGUUUGAACCCUCUUAAUCCAGCAGUGUACGCAAAGAGGCCUGGGAGGCCAAAGAAAAAUAGAAGAAAAGAUCCAAAUGAGAUGGCUUCUUCAAGUCAGCCGAAGAGGUAUACAAAGUCGAAGAGCAAUGCCAAAACUUCGCAAUCAACUUUAGAAACAACUGCAAGUCAACAAAAAAAUUGAGGCUGAUAAUGACAUGUACAAAAUGUGGUGAAGCAGGACACAAUAGGAGAGGUUGCAAAGGGGCACCACCUCCAGCACCUCAUUAGGGUAAAGCUGCUAGCCAAGUUUCCUGUUAAUUUUUUUGGCUUUUGUUUUUCUUAAUUCAAUGCAUAGGUAGUGUAAUGCAGUUUGUGGAUAUAAUGUAGCACCUCAUUUUGAUGUUUUUGAGUACUGGACAUAAUUAAGCACGUUCAGAACUUUUAUUGGCUGUACAGUGGAUAUUUUGCACAUUUGAAAUGAAAAGUUCUGUCUGAAUUGUUUUAUUGCACAUGCUCAUUUUUCUUGUUUUUUGGUUAAUUGGUGGAUGAAUUGUGUCUGAGAUUCUGUGAUGGAAUUGGUGUAUUCGGAUUUUGAAUUGUUUUGUGCAUAAACAAGAGGAAAAUAGAAGAAAAUAGAGACUUUUCUAGCCAAAAUUUUGAAAGGUUGGGAUGUUAUUCGCAAAAUUUUUUAAAAGGUAUGGACGUUUCUCGCCAUUACAUUUUAAAGGUAGGGAUGUUUUCAAAAAAAUUAUAAAAACAUAGGGACUAUUAUCACAAGGUUAAUUCAAUUCUUAGAAGAAGUGAAUAGGACCAGUUCAUCUUCUCCAUUGAGCCAAAAUGGGUCAUUCACCAUUGAAAUGUAAUAUGUACUUCACAGCACCCAUUUCCACUUGUUCUUCUCAAUUUAGUCGAUGGGUUUCAUCGUUAAUAAGCAUAAACUGGAAGUGAACAUCCAUCAUUAAUCUUUAUAAAUUGACCACCCAUUCAAAAUAUGUGUUUCUAAUUUUUUUUAGUAACCCAACAUUACAACAGCAGUAGUUGUGGAAUUGUAAAUUAUAAUGAUGUUCACGACAUUUUUCUUUGUUUAACAUAAUCACUUAAAGUAUUUUCAUAGUCAUGUUGUUGCUACUGUUACUUAUGGAUUAAGUUGAUGGCGGGAAGAAGGGGUUUAGGUGGGUGAGGAUAAUUUUAUCCUUGUUUAUUGAAAGAAAAAAGUAUUUUUUAUUUAAUUAACCAAGAAACUGACGGAAUGUGGACGGAAGGACAUCCAGCGCAAAGAAAUGUUGAAAUGAGGGCAAAAAUGCCAAAAAAAUAAAAGAUAGGGAAGUUUUACACAAUAGACUUGAAAGGUAUGGACGUUUUGUGGCAAAAAAGCAACUCGGGGGGGUUGGGCAUUAUUUAACUCACGUGGGACCCGCGCACUUUGUGAGUGUUGAUCAUCCCUGGUUUCAAACAUUUUUCGGGAGAAGUGGCAUUUUCCAAAUAAACAAGUUUCUAACAUCUUAAAAAUAAGUCUUUUUUACAAUAAAAAAUAAAUUUAAGCAUUCAAUUUAUGUUAGGUCAACUUCAUUUUUUCACUUGACUUUUGUACUCAGAAUAUUUUACAAGAGUGAAAAAAUAUGUAUGUGUGUGUGUAUAUAUAUAUGGAGAAAAACAAUACUACUUUUAUGGAAUAAACUUCAAAAUUACAGACUAUUGAAGACUAAUCUAAUAUAUAAUAUAUAAGAAAUUAUUCCAAAUACAUAUAAUUUCUCGACCUCCCUACCCCUCAAUUAUUACACAACACAACAUAUGCUUUGCCACACCCACAAUAUUUUUCAUUUGAACAAACAAGGCAACAAGAAUACUAGCUUAAUAAUGGACUAUUUUUUUGCUUUUUGGCCUAUACACAAAAGAAACCAAACAUGUCAAGUUACAAAUAAAGUGUGACCAAACUUUAACAUUUUAACCAAAAUUUGCUCCAACUCAGCUGAAAUAAUGCACCGGUUCAGUCAAUUAUUCUUUUCCAACGCCAUACCAACUUUUGAACUUUUCUCAAUGUAGAAAAAAGGGAAUUCUUCGAUAUCACUAACCGAUGUCGAUUUUAUCCCGCAAGUAGAUCCCACGAGAACUAUACUUUAGCACUUAAUUCAAAUUUCUUUAACCGCUAUUUGAUGAAACUAAACAAAAAUGAUGAUCGAUUGUGAUUUUUGAUCUAACGACUUAAAAUGAGAAUGGAUGCAAUAAAAAGUGAUUUGGAAUUCAAACAAUAAAUGGACGUUAGGGCAGAACAACUUCAAAUAUUGGUCACCUUUACUUCUAAUAUCGAGAUUCAUAAAAUCUAAAGAAGUAUUCGAUCAAAUUCGUCUAUUGUAUUCAAUUUAUCCCUCUCGAAUUCUCAUUGAGCCUAUUUAACUAUUUCAAUUCCAUAUCUUUAUGCGAAUCAAACUUAGUUAAAUGCACUAAUAGUUCUAAGAAUUCAUUUAUGAUCGCAGCAAUUAAUAUAGGUAUCUCUACACGUUAUAUUAAUUUAACGAAUUUUAAUAUGUGGUCUAAACAAGAAUCCCCAUCUCUACGCAAUUAUUGUUCACGAAAUCAUUGAAUAAUUGGCAAAAAAAUUCAAAACAUUGAGAACAUGAUUAAAAUUCGCACAUAUAUUCAUAACGAAAAAGAAUCUCAAAGAAAAGAAAUAAAGGGUUCCAAAUAAUAUAUGCAACCAAUGAGUUGUCUUUGUCUAUUGCCGACAACCAACACUUCGUUUCGUACUUGAAAUAAUAUAUGCAACCAAGGUAUGUUGGAGUAAGUCGAAGCACUCUUCGUACAUAUACAAUACAAUAUUUCAAUGAUUUAAAAUAAUAAUUAAUUAUGAAUUCACAAUAAUAUGGGGGUGUUAUAUCUUUAACUUCUGAUAUAUGGGAUGAGAUUAAUAAAAGAGCUUAUAUGCUGCAACCACACACUAUAUAGACCCACUUUGGUGCAUAAAUAAAAAAAAUUAUUGCUCUUAGAAUUAUAGAGUUUCCUCACAAUGCUAAUAAUAUAUAUAAUGUCAUUAUUAGUAUUGUUAGAGAAUUUAUUUGUGAGAAUAAAAUUUGAUAUUUUACUUUCGAUAAUGCUAGUAUUAAUAAGGUAGUUCUCGAUAAAUUGUGUAGGGUACUGCAACCUAAUUUCGGUAGGUAUUUGUUUCAUAUUCGUUGUAUGUGCUAUAUUUUGAAUUUAAUUGUGGCUUAAAACAUAUAAAGGAUGAGGAACGCGCUAGUAUAUAUCACGAUCUCCCCUAGUAGAAAACAAACAAUUGAAGAUUUUUGUGUCGAAAUAGGGGUAACGACUGCUAAAAUAUUUAAUAACUGACUUUUAUAACGAUAGACACGUUAAAAGAUAUGACGAUGCUAUGUUGAAUGAAUCUGAUUGGAAUGUAGCUUUGAAAGUUAAAAGAUUUUUGACAUCUUUUUAUGAGACUACAAAGAUUUUAUCGGGCGUUUAUUAUCCCACAAGUUGUAUGGUAGUUGAACGCCUUCAUAUAAUUGCAAGAACAUGAAGUUUUGCACAUGAACGAAUCCUUGUUGAGUUAAAAGAAUCUUGUUUGAGUUUAAAUUAAACUCUUCUACUUGGUUAUUGAUCUUAUAAAUAGUGGAUGUAUUUCAUUAUUUUAGGUGUAAACAGAAGUUGAUCUGAGAGAAAAAUAUUGUGAAUCUAGCAUCUUAAGACUUUUAGUACAUUGGGUAGAAAAGUAGGUGGUAAAGCUCAAGUUUAUUUUUUUCUUCGUAAUACUUGGGGAUUGGUUUGGUGAGUGAAGGUCUUUAUGAUUGUAACAAUUUUUCAUAUAGUGAAAAAUUUUGACGGUCUGUUUAAUUUGUACGUUAUAUUUUUUAUUUUUCCUUGUUUGCUAAUAUUAUCUUGAACAACAAAAGAUCCAGCGGGUAAGUAGAAAUAAAGUGGAAUUGGUGUAAAAUUCGCAACAAGUGGUAUCAGAGCGUCAAGUGGUUCGGAGUAUUGAAGUAACAGAAAAAUAUAUCGAUUGUACCUGAAGGAGCAAUUUCAUUCAUUGCACAUGGAGGCAGGUACGAAAAUCUCAAACCAUUUGAGUGUUCUCAACGGGAUUGUUUCAGAAUUGGAAACUAUCGAAGUGAAGAUAGACGAUGAGGAUAAGGCACUACAGCUCAUCUCCUCUCUUCUGUGUACCUAGAACAUAUCAAGCCAAUCUUGAUAUAUGGGAAGGAAACUAUGAGUUUCGCAGAAGUGACAAGCAACUUGAUCUCAGGAAAAAAGAUUAGGAAGACAGAAUACUCCCUAACAAUGCAAUGCUUGUAAUUGAAAAGGGGAAGAAUGGCAACUCCAUGAGGAAGAAAGUAAUUUGUUAGAACUACGGUCAGAAUGGCCACGUAAAGAGAAAUUGUCCAAAAGGUGGAGCAGGUUCGGCUAACUGCUUGGGGUCUGAUAAUGCAUCUCUCCUGACAGAGGAGGAUGCUAAUGCGGUGCUUCAAAGUAAGAUGAGAACAUUCCUAUGGCAUGUAGUCAAUUGCUAUGAUAGAGGAUGUGUUCUUACUGCCACGGGUCAGUAUAUCUGCACAUAGAAUUGAUUGACAUUUGAUGCAAGGUGUGUAGGUACGUGGUGGUGUUGUGAUAUUGAUGGCCAAUGAGCUCUCUAGGAAAGUCAGUGAUAGAGUUGCACCAUAACUAUCAGCAAAGGUUGUUUCGACAUGUAGUCGAUGAAAUGUUUGGAGUUGGCGGAUAAUUCUAAGUGGUUAUACUCAUAUGGUGGAGUAUGGGAUCGUUAAAGUGUCUCAAAGGCUUUCCUGUUUUUUUCAUGUAUUGUGAUCAAAAGUUGUAAAAGAGAUGACAAGAUUUUGACUCGUUUUCAACAAGGUGGAGAUUGUCGGGUAAUUGCCUCAAAAGUCAAAAGUCAAAGGACUUCUAUUACAAAUAAUAAAAGGUAGUUAUUGUACAGAAGACUUCUAAUUGAAGUUGAGAGCAGAAUUCUUGCAGAAUUUGAUAUCCAAUUUAUAGUCGGUUUUGGAGUCCUGCACAUGAAGGAAUCCUUGUUGAGUUAAAGAAGUCUUGUUUGAGUUUAAAUUAAAUUUUUCUACUUGGUUAUUGAUCUUAUGUACAAUGGAUGUAUUUCAUUAUUUUUGGUGUCAAAGAGUUUAUCAAAGAAGAAAAUAUUGUGAGCCUAGCAUCCUGAAACUUUUAGUACAUUGAGUAGAAAAAUAGGUGUGGUAAAGCUGGAGUUUAUUUUUUUCUUUAUAAUACUUGGUGAUUGGGUUGGUGAGUGAAAUUUUAUAUGAUUGGGUGUAUUUCAUUAUUUUGGGUGUGAUGAGAGAGUUGAUCUGAGAGAAAAAUAUUGUGAGCCUAACAUCUUGAAAUUUUUAGUACAUUGAGUAGAAAAGUAUGUGUGGUAAAUCUCGGGUUUAUUUUUUCUCUGUAAUACUUGGGGAUGGGAUUUGUGAGUGAAAUUUUAUAUGAUUGUAACAAUUUUUCAUAUAGUGAAAUGCUUUGACAGUCCGUUUAAUUUGUGCGUUAUAUUCUUUAUUUUUCUUUAUUUGCUAAUAUUCUCUUGAAGAACAAAAGAUCUUGUGGAUAAAUAGAAAUAAUGGGAAAUUGGCAUAAAAUUCCAAACAGACAUGACCUAUCCUGAUAUACCGUGCCUUAGUUUAUGGCGAAGAAGAUGUAGUGAUAUCACAACUGGUUAGGCACAAACAGCAUGUGAUUGGAAUUAUUAUAUAGUUAAUGGCAUAACUUGAAAAGCUGAAACAUGACAUGUGGACCUGUGGUGGCACCAAGAUUAUGCCAAUAACUGAGUGCAGAUAUCUUAUGAUAUUACUCAACCAGCUGCUUGCCAUUUGAGGGGGAAUUUUUUUGAAAGUCAAAAACGACUUUUGAUAUUAAUAAAAAAAAAUGUAUAUUAUGAUUUCGAUAUUCAAUCUGUGAUUGCCAAAUAACAAUUAACGAAGUUUUUGUAAAUAUUUAUCUGAUAAAGAUCAACUCUCCUAUUUAGGUCGAAAAUACUACUGAGUAAGUUCUGCAACUAUAAAUGUAUGUGACAUCAAAAAUUGACUUAAAAACAAAAGUAGAUUGACCAUCAUCUCAGAAUUUAUGCUUGCACAAUUUUUAUCAUUCAGCAACAUUUAAAAUUAAUAUGUAUAUUCCAUUUCAAUGCCAAAUACUAAAUGCAAUUUCGGAGAAAAAAUUAUUCAAACUCAAUAAUUCAUUGAUUCACUUCAAAUUAUUCUAAAUAUUUUUAUCGCUCAUUCGGCAAUUUUUUCCCCUUAACAUUUUAUUAUUUUUUGUAUGAUACCUAUUAUUUUUCAAAGAUCAAAUACUGGUAGGCGUAUUCACGCAAGCAUGAAAAAUUGAAAGGCAGAAAGAACAGUGUAGAUAAAGGGUUAAAGAAAGAGUAAUAACUUUAGCUAUGCAUUGAAAAAGACUAAAUAGACAGGCAGUUGACAAUCAUGCUGUCAACAUUUCCCAAUACUCUAUCUCAAUCUCCCGUCUUUCUUUCUUUGAAGUUAAAUCUAUAAUUAAUUAAAUCUACAUAAAUUAUUCAAAGAUUAAUUAUUUAUUAGCAAAUCUAACAAUUCGAAACGGGCAGAGAAAUUUAUAUUUAUAGGAAUUUGAAAUAGACAGAAAAAUAGAUAGAUGUAAUAAUUCCAAGUCUUCGUAACACGAAGAAAAAUCUCGAUGUAGAGUCUCUAUGAUGUCUCCAUGCAUGAAGACUUGCGAGGAGAGUCUCCUUGCUGGAGAUCGAAAAAAUACCUUUAUCCCUGUUAAAUGUGUGGAUGGUGUUUCAGAUAAUUCUUGGCUUAGAGGAAAAAUGAAUGAAUUGUGUUUUGAUAUAGUUAAAGUUUUUGAAAUACAUAAUUUAUAUUUUCUUUUAAUUCUUUAAUUUCAUAUACAUAAUCACACACAUAUUCACAAAUAUUAACAUAUUAAUUUUAGCUAACUGAAUUAAUUUCUAGCAAUUUUUAUUUUCUACAAAAAUUACAAAAUGUACUCUAUUUUAUAAAUUCUUUUUCCAGUAUAAUUUUGAUUGAAUACUAAGCCUCUUGUACUAUCAGUAAAGGUUUACCUCCUCGUAUCUAUCAAACAUUUGCCUCCCCAUAUCUAUGUGAAUAAAGUAUGGGUAUGAUAAAAUUUUACAAUGUACAUUUUUUUCUUCUUUGUUCCAAACUUUGACAUAUAUUUAUUAGUUUUUAUUUUAUAUAAUAAAUAAGAAAGAACAAAUUUGAUAUAAUUUUACGUGCUUUACUAAUUCAACAAUUCAAUUCACGCUAUUCAUGUACUAUAAGUAAACGUUUGAAGUAAUUCCCACAUGUUUAUCAGUGAUUAGACAAUAAGGUAUGGAUAUCAAUAAUAUUUUACAAUGUACACAGUUUUAUUUAUUCUUCUUUAUUCCAAACUUUCACAUUUAUUAGUUUUCUAUAAUAGAAAUAGAGACUAAGGAAAUACUCCUUAAUUCAAUUUAGGCCAUUCUUGUACUAUAAGUAAAGAUUUGAAGUAAUCUCUAUAUCUUAUGAUAGUGAUUAGACAAUAAGGUAUGGCUAUCGAUAAUAUUUUACAAUGUACAUAAUUUUAUUGAUUUUAUAACAUUAGAAAAACAAAUAUGAUAUAGUAGUACACACACACACACACAUAUAUGUCAUUUUCAUUUGAUUAUCUCAAAAACGUUUUCAUAGAAAAACACUCUGUUUUACUUCACUCUAUUUUACUCUGUUUCAAUGUUGCCACUAUGGAAGAAUAGUACCAGCUUAUACCAGAAAUUGUAUACAAUAAUCAAAAGUGAAAAAGCUAAGGUAAUUGUGGUGGAAAAACAAUUACCAAAACCUUCAAGGCAAAGCAAUGAAAGGUGCCAACAUAUGAUGUUAAUGGAUACUCAGGUAACUCUUGUUCAUUGCGCGUCUUAAAUACUAAGCUUCAAUUAAAUGUUAUAUUUAAUUACAUUCUAUUAUCUUAUUUUUCCCCUAUUUGUUCCAUAUUUUUUUCUCCAGUUUAAGAAGAAUUAGACCAAUUUAAAUGUCAUACCUAGCGUGAUUUUGUUGACUUUCAUUACACAUUUGCCUUAGAAAUGUGAACUACAAUAAUUGAAUAACCCAUAUUAAUUGUGGAAAAAAGAGCAGCAAACGUAGUCUUAAAAACUAUUAACGCUUUUCAACGUGUUCAUACAUUUUUUCCUUUUUUUUUCAUCUAAGAACGUGUAUACUAAUAUUUAUAAAAUUCCUCAUCAUUUUUCAAGGUAAUACUAUUCAGGCUAGUUUAUAUAAUUCAAAUAUCACUGCUUUCAACGAUCAGCUUGUUCUUGGAAAAACUUAUGCAGUUUCAAAGGCUUAUGUGAAAAACAAUACGACAAACUACAAAUAUUUAAUAAGAUCUCUUCAAUAGACGAUAUCUAGAGAAACUCGUGUCGAGGAACUAAAUGAAGAUAUUAUAGAGUUUGUUUUCUCAACAUAUCAAUUGACGCAAUGUCAUGAAAUGGAAUAGUACAUGGAUACAGAUGCUAAUUUAAGUAAGAAUUACACAUUUUAUAUACUUGAAAUAAUGAUAUACCGAUCCUAUAGGUUACCUUCAAUUUUUAAUAGUUAUGUAUUUAGUAAAGAGAUAAUGUGAUCGCUAAUUUAAAAUUUUUAGAUAUACUUGCAAUCGUAGUUGAUAUGACGCCUAAACGACUGAUUAAAUUGAAAGAUGGCAGCCAAACCUAGGUCCAAGAUGUCAUACUUCUAGACAAGAAUUUCAAGAUAAUGAUGCUUACACUUUGAAAUUCAUUUGUUGACAGAGAAUGUGUACUAAUAGCAAACAACAUUGAGAAAAAAUUAGUCAUCUUUACAACACGUCUCAAAGUUACAUCAUUCUUUGGUAUAUUCAACAUUAAGACUCAACUCCUCUCAAGGCAUAUGUGACAUACUUUACACAUGUUCUUCAUAAUGAUAUUAUAUAGGUUUGAAAUUUUCCACAAAAGUCUGCACCAUCUUCUUCAUAAAUACACCUUUCACUACAGUAAAAACAAAUGACAGAAUGGUAUGUACAAGUUGCUGUAUUUUAUUAUUCUUUUUUUCAUACUUCUCAUGCCUCUAUACACACAUUACUAAUACAUUUGCUAAUUGUCUUCAUCUUACUUUCUAAGGGUGAAAACAAAUUCCAUUAAAAUAGAUGAUUUAGUAUUGAAAAAAUCAUACAUGGAUAGAAGCCUCUCAUGGAUAGAAGCCCCAAAAUAAAUUUACUUCCUUUCAAAAUCUUCAGGGACGCCUUUUAACAGUAAUGUUACAGAUUAUAUGUACUAUUCAAUCCACAUGUAUUCAUUUCCCAAUAUAUGUGUAUAUGUUAAAAGAUAAAAUCAAUCAUAUUCGUUAUUUUCCCCAAAAUUUUUUGAGUAUAUCUCUAAAGCAUUCAGACUAAUAAUAGCGCAAGUUCUACUGGGUAAAUGGCACAGUAACCAUAGACAAAAUCAAUAACAAAACUUGGUACAUUGCUUGUAAUAACUGCUAUAGAUGAUCAAAUGCUGAUUUUGGAGAAAUGUAUCUUUGUAUUUUUUGCAAGAAUUUCAAUUCUAAAGCUAUUCCUCGGUAAAAUAUACUAACUAUUAAUCAUUAUUUAUAUUUGCCAUUAUUUACUACAAUAGAUUUGCUUAUGCAUAACUUUUCUGGUCUCUUUAUUCCUUUCUCAUGUCUUCAUUUGCUAAUACUCAAUUCUUAUUCACUUUAGGGCUAAAGCAUAUGUGCAAUUGUCAGAAGUCACAGGCUCGCUCAAUGCAAAUGCAAUUGGUGAACUAGCUGAACAACUGCUAUUUACAAGUUCACAAUCUUUGAUGAAGCAAACCAAUUCUGUAAGAAUUUCAAACUAACUUGAACUUUUUGCCAUUCCAUACAUAUUUUACUCAAGUGAUAUUAAUAUGAUACAUGAUUAACAAACAGGGUUUACAAGCAAAACUUUCAAGCUGUCAUUCAAAAAAUGCAAAAUGCUAAGUGACCUUUCUGCUUGAAAGCAUCGAAAGUUGAACCUAAUUCAUUGAGUUAUAGAUUUGACAUCAUUUCUGUAACAGGCUUAGACCAUACAAGUCCAAAAGAAGAAAGCCAAGAAAAUGUUAAUACUCAAGUUAUGGUUACAGCGGUUGGGAAAAGUAUUGAUACUUACUCUCAAUAAGAUUGGUCACUUUCGGCAAAGAGAGCCCUUUUCAAGUCUUCAGAUGAUACCUCAAGUUCAAAGGUGACUCGUGAUCAAAACAUGAGUUGAAAAAUUUCUGGCAUAAAUCCAUUUACUCCAAAAGAAAAAAUGGAGUGAAUGAUGAUUUAAAUGUUUUGUUGGGAAAAACCUUUUGACAAGAACUUACUAUGAAGUUUGUCUUGAUGUUCUCUUUUGUUAACUGUACAUGCAAUAAUUAGAAUUUGUCUUGAUGUUCUCUUUUGUUAACUGUACAUGCAAUAAUUAGAAACUGCCAAGCACAUUACUGUUAACAAAUGAUGUUCGUAGAAGAGGAUACAUACAUCAUCUGUGUAGUUGUUAGUACUAAAGAAGUUAAGUUUUAUUUUUUCUUGUCUUCCGUUUGCUCUAAUCCAAGCAAAUAAGUAGCUACAAUAUGCCUACAAUAAGUAAUUCAUUUCACAGUUAAAAACCUAAACAUAUACGAUGUAUUGUAACAUAAAAUCAUUACAUCAUUUCUUAUAUUUACUUGUCAAAGCUGACCAAAAAUAAUCGAAAAAAUAAUACUUUGCCAACAAUUCAAUCAUUCCAUUUAAUCUUAAAAAAUGUUCAAAACGUAUGCUAAUCAAAACAAAAUUGAUACACAACUCGUGCAACACACGUAACAUCGAUUAGUUGUGAAAAAAACAUCUAUUUCUAUUUUCUAGAACCCAUAGACAUCUUAUGGCAUCUUUUCAUAAAUUUGAAAUAUUGAGGAACAAAAGUGAAAAAAAAAAUAUUUGGGCCAACUAAUUAGAUUUUGAUUGAGUGAAAAUAAGUAUAUCGAUAUUUGGCAUUUUUGUAGCUCGUAAUUAAUUAAGAAUCUUGGCCUAAGAAAAAGUUAUUCUGGGUUGGAUUAGAUCACAUCAAUUUAAAUUUGAUUAAAAGAAUAUAUGGUUAAAUAAAGUUGGAAGGAAUUUGGAAUAUUAUUUCAAAUAAAACUUUUCCUCCAUUUAGCGUAUGUCACAUGAGUUGUUGAUAUGAAAACAUUACUUGAAUACAAUUCAAGUUCUAUUAUUUGAAACCAAAUCUUAUUCAAAUUCAUUGUAUUGCACGGUAUUUUAAUUCUAGUUGCAUACAAACUCAUUUAAGAAUUUUAACUGUAAAUACUGUAAAAAUUUUCAUUAUUUCACCACAAAAAAAUAAAGAGAACCGUGGUAAAAAGAGAGAAGGAUAGGAAAAUGUAUAGAAAAUUAAUAGGAUAAUUUUUACGUGUAAGAUUUUAUUCUUUUUAACUUUUAAAAUCAAAGUAAUAUACUUUUUUACAAAUAAUUUGUUUCCGUAUGACUUAUAUUCAAUUAAAUAUGCAUGAAUUGCUAGUGGACCUUUGAGUUCUUUAGAAAGAGAUAUGAAAUCCUAUGAAAAUUUAAUACGACCUACGAUGGGUAUAAAAAUUGUAGGUAUCUUACUUGAUAUUUUUAAAUACCCACUCUUACAAUAAUUUUAUGGGCUAGUACGAGUCAACUGGAUUUGUGACAGGAUGAUGAUGCGACCUCCAAGUGGAUCAAAAGAAAAAUAAACACUAAGUUUUUUGUCUUUCAAUUAAUUAAUUAGUUUUCAUUUACAUUCAAUGACAUGCCUAUUUAAUAGUUAGUUGAUUAUAUCUAUUUUUUAGUAUACAAUUCUCAUGCUUUUUUUAAAUUUAUGAACAUUUCAGUUAUUUUAUUUUAAAGAAAUUUAUUUUUCUUGUUUUACAUUUAACAUAAAGAAAAAUGAGCCUUUUUGUAACACCCCAGAAUUUACAUAUCGUACUUCGCUGUAUAGCUAAAAUGCAUUAGGUCAAAGAUGAAUAGUUUAUCAUUAUGGAGUCAACUGGAAGAAAUUCUGAAGAAAGAGAGAAUUUGAGCUUGAAUCUGACAAGUGUUGUCGUUGUUCUAAUUGAAAGGGCCCUGAAAGUGAGGAUUCUGGUGAUACAUCUUGGAGUUGGCUACUUUUUUUUUUUUUUUUUUUUUGAUAUCUAGGUAUCCCAGCUUACACUAGACUAAAUCCUGGACCUCCAAGACCCUUGCCCCUAGAACCUUGGAGGGGGUAAAUCGCGGGUUAUGCCUCAACUGGAUCACAUGAUCCCCCCACCGCCUAUACACUUCUACGCACAAGAGAUCCUCCUCCAAAGUGAUUGCUCCAUACCAAAUAAAUCUGGCCGCAGGUUCCCACCAGGAUUCGAACCUCCACCCUACCGUUGGAAGCAAGACAAAUGUUGAUUGAUCCACCAGUUGAGCUGUGCCCCAGGGGGCUUGGAGUUGGCUACUUUAUUUCUAUGACAUUUAAGAGUAUUGAAAAUAAAUAGUAACUUAACUAAAAGUCUAAAUGUCUAAUUAUAAAAUUAAUUUUAUUUGAAAACAUAUGCAAAUUUUAAAAUGGCAAAGGACUCCAAAUGCAUUAUUUGAUUGAAACUUCUAUAAGUAGAAAGAAUAAAUAUGACAAUUUUUACCUGAAAAAAGAAACUACGAUAAUUUAUCACAUGUCCUACUUCAAAUUAUCGUAUGAAUGGGUAGUGUUAGUAUGAUAAAUAGAUCCAAUAAUCAAUAUACUUCAUUGAUCUACCCACUAAACAAAAUCCAAUAAAUGAAAGCAUGUUGUACUAAUCCAUAAAAAAACAUUAAAAAGGUUCAAAUUCAAGUUAUUUUAGCAUUCACUCUGAAUCAUGUCAUACAAAAUAAUAAUCAAACAAAAUUUUGAAUAUUUACAAAAUAAUAAUCAUGCUAUAUCUUUCAAAACUCUAUUAACAAAUAGAAAACAAUAGACAGAAAAAACAGUAAAAAAAAAUGUAUAGUACCUCGUAUAGUACUAAAGCAUGUGAUAGUACCUUGUAUAAUCCUAAAGCAUGUGAUAGUACCUUUAAAUAAUAGACUUCCCAUCCACAUUUAAAGCAUCAUGUGUGCAUAAUACUAACUCUGCAAUCACUUUACACCCAUAAACAAAUGUAUAGUAACUUGUAUCAUAUGAUCAACAGGGACUUCCCAGGCACAUUUACAGCAUCCAUGUGUUAGGGAGAUUGAUGAGGUUCGUGAGGAGGAACAAGCAAUACAUGGAACGCUUGGAUGGUCGGUGUUCGAAGAAAUUAGCAUAACUUUCGCAUGCGGUAUCCGUUUUGGGCCCAUAACCCCAUUUCAGAAAGCUCGCGACAAUUCUGGAUGAACUCAUUGCUUUGCCAUGACAUAUGAUGGAUUUUGGCUAUUUGAAUUCAUUUACUAGGUCAAAACAGCAUUUCAAGUUUCUUAAUUUAUUAUUUUCAAUAUUUGUUAUUUUUGUUUUAUAGCCCAGCCAUUAACGGACUGCUGACCCAAUAGGUUAUUUGUUUUUUUCAUAUUUAGGCUUUGAAAAUGCCUCAUAGGUUUUGGAUUAUUUAUGAAAUAAGAGAAAAACGUAGGUUUUCUUGAGUUCAAUCCAUUUGAGUUUCUAUCAUCGCGUGUUAGUAGAUUUGAUCUACAUCAUUUGGUAUCAGAGCAUGGUUCGUAGAAGAGGACAUGCUAGUCGGGGAGGCCGUGGUGGCUAGAUUGACGAAGUUACAGAUCUGCGAAAUCUCGUCGCGAUAUUGACAACCGAUUUGAUCAAUUUAUGACUUGGGUGAUGGAGGUUGUGCAGAAUGGAACGCCUCCUAUCCCCAACAUCAUGUCCCAGUGAGUGAUGGGGAAGGUGGCCUUGAAUCAGAUGAGAGGUCGGAUGAGCAGACCUUAUCGGAGGCACGUGACGAUUGUGUUCAACAGCCUCAUGUACAACAGCAGGACACAUUUCAGCGUUGGGAAUCAGGGAUCAAGGUUGAUAUACCUGAGUUUCAAGGUGGGAUAGUGAUGGAUAAAUUUCUCGAUUGGCUAGUGGCAGUAGAGGAGAUUUUAUAUUACAAGAAAGUGCCCGACAAAAAGAGGGUACCUUGGGUGGCGACCCAUUUGCAUGGUCGCGCUGCUGCUUGGUGGCAGCAACUAAAGUAGAAUCGGAUCUGUCAGGGUAAGACGAAAAUCCAGUCAUGGGAAAAAAAUGAAGAAAGAGUUGAAGGAGGCCUUUCUUCCUUUUAAUUAUGCUAGGACCUUGUAUCAAAACUUGCAGAAUUUAAAGCAAGGCAAUCGUUCUGUAGAUGCUUAUUUCAUAGAAUUUUACAAAUUAAUAGCACGAAAUGAUGUGGGAGAGUCAGAAGACCAAUUGGUGAUGCGCUAUAUUGGUGGACUAUGGUUGAAUUUAUAGGAUGUUCUUAAUAUGUUUUCGUAGGUAUCUGUUUCGGAAGCUCAUCAGCAUGUACUUCGGGCUGAAAUUCAGCAACUACAUCGUUCUGCAGUAGGCAUUUCUUGCGGUCCAUCUGGAGGUGCGGGUUGACCACUUACCCCAAAUCCUACAUCUGGUCCAUCUCAAUCCUCUACAUUUGGGAAUCGGGGUGCGGAUCGAAACACUCGGCUAGCGGCUCCUCUAAUCCCUAGUUUAAUUGGUUGGGCUCCUUCUAGUGGACAUGGGCGUGGUAGUCAGUGUUUUGGCUGUGGUGGUUUUGGUCAUUUGAGGAAGGACUGUCCAUCCCAAGAACAGUCACGCCCAGGCUUGUUUGUCGAAGGGGUAACACAAGUCAAUGUUGUUCAUAUGGUGAAUGAAGAAGAAAAAGAAACCAAAGUUGUGCAUAUAGGUGACACGAGGCUUCUUUUAUUGGCACGGCGGGCGUGCCUUACGCCCAAGGUGUCAUUUAAGGACCUGUAGCGAAACAACAUUUUUCUGUCCAUAUGUACCAUUAGAGGAAAGGUAUGCAGGUUCAUCAUUGAUUCGAGCAAUUGUGAAAAUGUGAUAUCUGAAGCCGUCGUAUAGAAGCUGCAGUUAAGCACCGAACCUCACCCUAUCCCUUAUAGCGUAGCAUAGUUGAGACGAGGUAAUGAUAUCUGUGUUGUUAGAUAUGUGUUGGUAUCUUUCUCUAUUGGCAAUGUGUAUUGUCAUAGUGUUGGUGUGAUGUGGUGUCUAUGGAUGCGUGUCACCUAUUGUUGGGUCGUCCCUGGUAGUUUGAUAGGGAUGUGUGUCAUGAAGGGCAUCAAAAUGCAUAUAUGUUCACCAUUUCGGGUAAAAAGAUUGUACUACUAACCUUCAAAGAUACUCAUUGUAUGUCUUCGACAGGGGACAGUAGUAAUCUACUUUCCUAAUCAUUGUUUGUGCGUAAGAUGUUCGAGGAAGGUGUUGUAUUGUUGUUAGUGAGAACUAAGGUGACAGGAGUGUCAACAGUUCCUAAGGCAGUCGAGGAGACGGGUCUUCACCCCAAAGCUGCCACCUUGGUGUCUGAAUUUCACGAUGUAUUUUCGGAUGACCUUCCACAUGGUCUUCCACAUUUGCGGGACAUGCAAUAUCAGAUUGAUUUAGUACCUAGUGCGUCGCUACCUAACCGCCCACAUUAUCGAAUGAGCCUGACUGAACAUGAAGAGUUGAGGAGACAGGUAGAGGACUUGGUAUAGAAGGGCUACAUCAAAGAAAACCUCAGCCCGUGUGCGGUCCCUACACUUCUAGUGCCGAAGAAAGAUGGGAGUUAUCGGAUGUGUAUAGAUAGCAGAGCUAUCAACAAAAUAACAGUUCGUUAUUACUUUUCGAUAUCGAGGUUAGAUGAUUUAUUGGAUCAACUGGCUGGGAAAACAGUAUUUACCAAAAUAGACUUGAAAAGUGGUUACCAUCAGAUCAGAGUCCGCCCUGUGAUGAGUGGAAGACAGCAUUUAAGACGCGGUAGGGAUUGUUUAGUGGCAAGUUAUGCCCUUUGGACUUUCCAAUGCACCGAGCACGUUUAUGUAGGUGAUGAACCAAGCACUCCGACCGUUUAUUGGUAAGUGCAUUGUUGUAUACUUUGAUGACAUAUUAGUGUACAGUGGGUCGGAGGAGUCUCAUAGUGUGCAUCUAAGGGAAGUCCUUAGUGUGUUGCGUAAGGAGGAAUUCUUUGCAUCUCCUAAGAAGUGUGUAUUCUAUAUUGAUAGUGUUUUGUUUUUGGGGUAUGUUAUGUCAGUCGAUGGGGUAACGAUGGAUUGAGCUAAGGUUGAUGCGAUCCGACAGUGGCCGUGGCCAUAAUCAGUGUCUGAUGUGCAGAGUUUCCAUAAUUUGGCGUUGUUCUAUCAAUGAUUUAUUCAGUACUUUAGCACCAUCAUGUCUCCCACUACUAAAUGCAUGAAGGAGAGUAAGUUUUAAUAGACGCUCGAGGCUAACAAGGCAUUUGUGACCAUUAAGGAACGCUUGACUUCAGCUUCGAUACUUGCAUUGCCUGAUUUUACAAAGCCUUUUGCACUACAUUAUGACGCCUCUAAAUUAGACAUCAAAGCUGUCCUCAAUCAGGAGGGAAAACCAGUAGCUUAUUUCAGUUAGAAGUUGGCAGGAGCUCGUGGGAGGUAUAACACUUAUGAUGCAGAACUUUAUGCUGUUGUUCAGGCCAUUCGCCAUUCGCGGCAUUAUCUAGUUUAGUAAAAAUUUAUCUUAUAUAGUGAUCAUGAAGCUCGCAAGCAUUUGUCCAGUCAGGAAUCUAUGUCUGCCCGUCAUGCAUCCUGGGUUGCCUUAAUUUGGCAUUGUUCUAUCGAUGAUUUAUUCAGUAUUUUAGCACCAUCAUGUCUCCCACUACUAAAUGCAUGAAGGAGAGUAAGUUUUAAUGGACGCCCGAGGCUGACAAGGCAUUUGUGACCAUUAAGGAACGCUUGACUUCAACCCCGAUACUUGCGUUGCCUAAUUUUACAAAGCCUUUCGCACUACAUUGUGACGCUUCUAAAUUAGACAUCGAAGCUGUCCUCAAUUAGGAGGGAAAACCAGUAGCUUAUUUCAGUCAGAAGUUGGUAGGAGCUCGUGGGAGGUAUAACACUUAUGAUGCAGAACUUUAUGCUGUUGUUCAGGCCAUUCGCCAUUCGCGGCAUUAUCUAUUUUAGCAAAAAAUUUAUCUUAUAUAAUGAUCAUGAAGCUCGCAAGCAUUUGUCCAAUCAGGAAUCUAUGUCUGCCCAUCAUGCAUCGUGGGUUGCCUUCUUAUAGAAGUUUAACUUUGUCAUUAAACAUCAGGUUGGUUCGUCUAAUCAUGUGGCAAAUGCGCUCAGUCGACGGCAUAUGUUAUUAGCACGUCUACAGGUGGCGGUUACCAGGUUUGACACCUUUGUCUCUCUUUAUGUUGAUGACCCUUAUUUUGGCCCCUAUUUUUCACAGUUUAAUGCAGGGACCCUAUUUCCCUUUUCUACUAGAGGAUGAUUAUGUGUUUCGAGGUGUAAAGUUGUGUAUACCAGAUUACAAUCUUCGUCUGAAAGUCGUUGAGGAGUUUUACGACGAGGGUCAUGUUGGGAGAUAUCAUACUUUUCUGAUUAGUGCUUCAUUUUUCUGGCCUACAGUGCAGAGUAUGCCACGUGGCAAAAGGAAAGGCCACGAACACUGAUCUCUAUCGGCCCUUACCAGUGUCUUCAGCUCCAUGGACUGAUAUUAGCAUGAAUUUUGUUUUGGGUUUAUCACGCACACAGCAUGGUAGUGACUCUAUUUUUGUGGUGGUAGAUCAUUUUUCAAAAAUGGCACACUUCAUUCCUUGUAAGCGUACCACUGACAUUGUCAAAGUUUCGUAGCUAUUUUUCAGAUAAGUUUACCUUCUUCAUGGGUUGCCCACUUCUAUUGUGUCUGACAGAGACACGAUUUAUCGGUUACAUUUGGCGGAGCUUGUGGAAGUAAGUUAACACGUCAUUCAAUUUUAGUAGUGCUUACCAUCCUCAGACAGAUGGGCAGACUCAGGUAGUUAACCAUUCUUUGGGUGAUUUGUAGAGUUGCCUAGUUGGGGAUAAUCUUCGCUCAUGGGAUCAGUGGCUUAGCCAGGCGGAGUUUGCGUAUAAUCAUGCGCGAAAUAGGAGCACAGAUUUCAAUCCAUUUCAAGUUGUGUAUAGUAUUCCCUGUAGCCAUGUUGAUUUAUUGACUUUGCCCUCUAAGACUCGGUUGCAUGGGACAGCUGUUGACUUUGUUCGUAGUUUGCAGUAGGUUCAUGAGGAAACUCAAGCUAAUCUGCUGGAGUCCAACCAUAAGUAUAAAGAGGCAGCGGACCAACAUCAAUGUUCUAUUGAGUUUGACGUUGGGAUUAUGUUUGGACGACACUGACUAAGGAUCGAGGGCCAUCCCAUAAGCAUUCAAAAUUAGCUCCUCGUACCAUUGAUCCAGUGGAAGUUAUAGAGAAGAUCAAUCCCAAUGCCUAUCGCCUUCGACUUCCUUCUCAUACUCGGGCUUCUGAUGUGUUUAGUGUAAAGCAUCUUUUGCCUUACCAUGGAUAUAACAUAGAGGACAGUGCCAACAGUUAUGAUUCGAGGGCGAAUCCCAUUGAUCCCGAGAACAAUGAUGAGGUUCCUGUGGAGGAACAGGCACUUGAGUACAUGGAAUACUUGGAUGGUCAGCGUUUGAAAAAAUUGGCAUAACUUUUUGUUGGGUUUUUGAUACCCAAUAAAUCCCGGGCUAUGAUGUUAACGUGUGUUAAUAUUAUUUCAUAGGUAUAGGCCGAUGAAUGAAAUAAGUCCAACAACCAAGUCCAUGAGCUACUCCCGUCCCAAUUGUAUUCCUUAUGGAUGGCUUGAAUCUUGGCCCAUUUACCCCUUUAUUGGCCUAACUUAAAGCCUAACCCUAGAGUAUAUAUUUGGCUAUAACCCUAGCCACUUUCAUAUGAUGUUUUGUGUGAUUUUGAGAGAAGAACUAGUGAAUCCCGGCUGCCCCCCUUUUGUGUGAGAAAAAGGCGUCCAGAAAUAUCCAGAACGCUUGUAUAACCUGUGCAGUUGGUGAUUCUUUCAUAGUAUACCUUUGUGGUGUCUUCUCUUAGCCUUUGUGGCGAUAAAUCAUCAUCAUUUCUUGUCCUACGUGGGUAAGAUUGAAUAGCAACCAAGGUUAAUCAAUUUGUUGUGGUUUGGAGCCGAUCGGAUUGGUUGUUGGUAGAGAAAGGUACGUUGGACUGAGCCUGGAAAACCACCGCUUGAAGAUCCUUUUGAAAGAGCUUUCGCAACAAUUGGUAUCAAAGCUUCAAGGUGAAGGUUUUGGCUCGUGAAAUCUAUCAGAAAUCGUCCAUAAAAUCGGACCAAUCCAGAAGGAGUUUAUGGAAACGGAGACCACUGGUGUAACGUGCAGGUGGUGGUAAUCAAUACGGUCAGAUGCGUGUGAACGGAGGCGGCUAGUGACGGAGGCGCGUGGAGACCACAUGCAGAGACUGAUUGGGCGUGUGCGGGCGCUUUUCUGUUUUAGGGUAUGCAGAAGAAUCUGGAUAGCAUUGUUCUUCGGGCGUUCGGGACUCAAAGUACAAAAAGAAGAGUAUGAUGAACUUGCAUACACUUCAAUUAUUUUACACCUGUCUGAUACUGUUUUGAGAAAAGUAGGAAAACUGGAUUCUACAAAACAACUUUGGAAAAAGUUGGAGGACUUAUAUUUGCUGAAGUCAACUCCUAAUAAAUUAUACUUGCUUGAACGAUUUUUCAACUUUAAAAUGGAUCCUUCAAAGGAUCUUGAUGAUAAUCUGGAUGUCUUUAACAAGUUAGUUCAAGACAUCGUUUAUUGUGAUGAAGAGGUAUCUGAAACGUAUAAGGCUAUUAUCCUGCUUAAUUCCAUGUCUGAUUCAUAUAGGGAAGUUAAGAAUGCAAUUAAGUAUGGUAGGGACACCUUAACACCCGAGAUUGUCAUAGACUCACUUAGGAGUAAGGAGAUCGAGAUUAAGGCUGAAAAAGAGGAUAAGAGGAAUGGCGAGUUACAUAUGAUGAGGAGUAGGAUGAAGUUUAAGCAAAUGAAUUUGGGUAGAACUCAAGACGGUAGUGAUUCGAGUAGUGACUCGAGUGAUGAGGUUGGUAAGAAGAAGGGCAAGGGACGAGACAAGUCUAGUGGUAGAAGGUGUUACAGUUGUGGUAAGUCUGGACACUUUAUUAGGGACUGUCCCAAGAAGAAAGAUAAGCUGAAGGGAAAGAUGAGAGGUGAGACGAAUUUGGUUGAGGGGUCGAGUUAUGACCCCAGUGAGGUUUAUUAAGUGUAAACCUAGUCACUACAUAUGCAUCUACGCGUGAUCCUUUUCUGCAUGUGUGUGAUUGUCUAAAUUUUGUUGCGUGAUUAUUUGCUACAUCUCAAUGUGUUUGAUAUGUGCAUUUGCAUGAAUUUGAGACAUUAGGAUUACUUGGUGUAAUUGCUUGCAUGCAUAGUGGGUUAGGAUGCAUUAGCAGUAUGUUGUAUGUCUUUUGGUGAGGUGGAGUAUAGAUGUCUAGGGGUACAUGGUGGUUUGUAUCGGGGAUGUAGAGUGUGAUAUUUAGAUCACGAGUGGAGAUGUGAUCAAAUGUCUAAGAUCCUUUAUCUGGAAAGAGACCCUGAUCAGGUGGAGUGUGAGAAAGACACUUCUAUCACUUCUGUUAGGUAGAAACCCAUUAUCUACGUAGGUUGGGAGAAGUGAUGUGGAGAUAGAGGAUUAUCCUGUGGAUUUAGGAUCUAUUGUGACUUACCAGUUAAACAUGAGUUGAGUGAUCUAUCUAGUGAGCGUGGUGGGCGAUGAGAGGAGAUAUGUGUUCUCGAGAUGUGAGCAACACGGAAUGGGAUAGGAUAAGUGUGGUGAGAUCUUUUCUUAGGGUCAUUUAUGCAUGUGUUGUAUAUGUGGUUGACCGUGGUUUGAUUGACUUGGUGUUAAUCUAUGGUUCUAUGUGAACGUGUUUCUGAAAAGAUCUGUGUGUGUUAUCCUAUAGUAUAUCGUCAUCGCAUGUGUAUUUGCUCUUGAUUGUUUACUAUUAAAUAUUUACUUCUACUUGGGUGUUUUUGACCUUAGCCCCAGUGAGUACAUAGAGCAUGUAUGGUAUGUGUUUCAAGUUGGAAACAUGAGGUAAGGUCUGUGAUCCAAUUUUAUUGGCUACCUUGAUUAUGCAAGUAUUAACUGCGUGUUUUGAUUGCUUGCAGAUUUAUUGGGCAUCAAGGUGGAGAUUUGUUGGGUUUUUGAUACCCAAUAAAUCACGGGCUAUAAUGUUAAUGUGGGUUAAUAUUAUUUCAUAGGCAUAGGCCGAUGAAUGAAAUAAGUCCAACAACCAAGUCCAUGAGCUACACCCGGCCCAAUUGUAUUCCUUAUGGAUGGCUUGAAUCUUAGCCCAUUUACCCCUUUAUUGGCCCAACUUAAAGCUUAACCCUAGAGUAUAUAUUUGGCUAUAACCCUAGCCACUUUCAUAUGAUGUUUUGUGUGAUUUUGAGAGAAGAACUAGUGAAUCCCGGCUGCCCCCCUUUUGUGUGAGAAAAAGGUGUCCAGAAGUGUCCAGAACGCUUGUAUAACGUGUGUAAUUGGUGAUUCUUUCAUAGUAUACCUUUGUGGUGUCUUCUCUUAGCCUUUAUGGCGAUGAAUCAUCAUCAUUUCUUGUCCUACGUGGGUAAGAUUGAAUAGCAACCAAGUUGAAUAAAUUGGUUGUGGUUUGGAGCCGAUCGAAUUGGUUGUUGGUAGAGAAAGGUACGUUGGACUGAGCCUGGAAAACCACCGUUUGAAGAUCCUUUUGAAAGAGCUUCCGCAACACUUUUGCAUAUUGUGUCCGUUUCGGACCCAUAACCCCAUUUCGAAAAGCUCGCGACGAUUCUGGAUGAACCCAUCACUUUGCUGUGACAAAUGAUUGAUUUUGGCUGUUUGAAUUAGUUUAUUGGGUCAAAAUAGCAUUUCAAGUUUCUUAGUUUAUUAUUUUCAAUAUUUGUUAUUUUACUUUAUAGCCUAACUCAUUAAUGGACUGUUAGCCCAAUAGGUUAUUUGUUCUUUCAUAUUUAAAGUUUUGAAAAUGCAUUCCUAGGUUUUUGAUUGUUCAUGAAAUAAGAGAAAAAUGUUGGUUUUUUUGAGUUCAAUCCGUUUGAGUUUCUAUCAUUGCUUGUUUGUAGAUUCGAUCUACAUCAAAGAUGCUGUGUGUACAGAACAAAAUUUGACAGAAGCUAUACAGACAAUUUACAGUAGGAGGUGAGUGAAUUUUUUGACAAUUUUUUAUCACAGCAUGGGGGGCCACUACAUGUGAGGUUCUGAAAGUAUUCUAUGAGAAUAUAUUCUGUACAAAUGACUUUCUCUUUAGACCUAUAAACAAACAUAUCUAUACAUGUAAUCAAAUGCAAGUUUCAAUUCUUGGGUAAUUAACACAAAAUGUCCUUACUUAUCAAUGUUAUUGUGCAAAAUGUCUAUACUAUUCGUUUUUUGACAUUUUCACCCCCUACUUGCACGUUUCAUUGUGGAAAAUAUAAUUUUCAUUCAAUUUUGCAAUAAAAAUGUAAAAUCUUUUUAUUUAGACCCCGUUUGUUUCUCAUUUUUUAAGAAUGAGAAUUAAAUAUAUAGCCAUUAUAGGCCCCACACAAAAUAUAGAAAUUCAAAUUUGGUAGCCUAAUGUGAUAGAUAACGGUCAUAUUUUUCAUUGUAAUGGGAAAAAAUGCGAAACAAACGAGAGCUUAAAUUUUUUAUUUUUUUUUAACAAAAAAUAGAAUAAAGAACAAAUCACAAUUAUACUCUUUUUAAUUAUUUAUUUGGACUCAUUUAUAGUUUUUUAAAAAGUUUGGGAAGUAUGUAUAUUUGUUAUUUUACAUUUUUUAUUGAGAAAUUGGAUGAAAAUGAUAUUUUUCGCAUUUAAGGGUGAAAAUGUCAAAAAAUGAAAGGUAAGGACGUUUUACACAAUAGCAUUGAAAGGUAAGAACAACUUUACUAAUUACCCUUUUUAGUUGGUUUUUAAUAUUUCUGCUGAAUCCCUGAAUUGAGAUGCCAUGAUUCUUUUUGCCACACACGGUUUCUAUGCGAUAUUAUUUUAUUCUUGUAGCGAAAAAUUGACUUAUAUUUUUAGAAUCCAUUCAUUAAUUGUCAUUUUCAUUAAGCUUUCAAUAGCUCUACACACCAAUAAUGAGCAAAUUUUUUGUUAUUAUUGUUGAACUAGAAAGCAGUAAAUAAUAUUCUUUGGUCAAUAGUUAUCGUUUCAAAAAAAUUAAUGGAUGUCAUUUACAUAAAGAAAAUCAAUUUUGAUUUUAAGAGAAUCGGUUUAUUAUUCUUGACUUAAUUGCAAUAAAAAAUUUAAGGGCUACAUGUCAAGCAAUAGAAUCAAACUCAACCUAAUUUCGAAUCAUGAUGGUGUGCUCGGGUGAGUCCAAAAAAUAAAAAAUUACUAUCAUUUUUCUUUCAUUUGUUUUACUGUCUAAAAAAGGUGACAGAUCGUGGUUAGAUUGUAUUUUGAAUUUAUUGAUAAGACAUCUUAUUUCAUACUCUAAAUGCAAGAGGGCUGCUCACCAUGUCCGGGCUCCAUUUUUUUAAAAUAUAUAUUUUCAAAACUCAUUUUUAAUCAUGCAAUUUUUCAUAAAAUAAUGUUACACGUAAAUUCAAAAAAUUUUAAUUCUUUUUUAAAAACAUAAUCUUAAAAAAUUCACUAUUCUAAAAUACAUCCUUUUUAAAAACCUCAUUUUAAUGGAGCAUAAAAUUGGGCUAUAUUUUAAAGUUUUUCUGGAUAAUCAUCAGUGUUACAUUCAAAAUUGAUAAAUUAAAUAACAAUAAACUAUAUUUGAGAUUAACUUGUUAAAUAUGUCUUUUAUAAUCUCUUCUCCUACAAUUAAUUUUUUUUAACCAAACUCUAAUUUUUUCUAAAUAGGGAACAGUUUCGAAAGAUUUUUAAUGGGAUGAACUAAGCAAUAUUAGAUAUUGUAAUUUGAAUUUAAGAUCACUCUUGCCUCUUGAUUGGUGCCUUUACUUUCCCUGUGCACAAUGCACCAUCACGUACCAAUGUAUAAAAAGAUUAUGGUUCUGUAGAGUUUGUAUUUUGUGAAUAAAUAUAUUUUUGAUGUUCAACUUAAUCUUUUCAUCUUCGCCACGAGUCUAAAGAAGAUGUCACAUAAAUAAAUAGUGAUUUAACCAAAUUCCUAAUCAAACAAUUAGUUUGUUUUGAAAAUAUAUAGAAUGUUUAAAAUGGAAAAGGAUUCCUAAUGUAUUAUUUGAUUGAAGCUUCGACAAGUUGAAAUAAUAAAUAUGAUUUUUUACAUGAAAAAUGAAAAUGCAGUAAAUUUUGAGCACUGUUUAUUCUCCCUUUAAUUCUUGCUAUCACAUGGCCUGCUUCUAAUUGUCUUAAUAAAAGUUUGAGAUAUUAAUGAAAUUAGAGCAUGAGUUUUUUCGCUUAUUUUUAAUUACUCUUCACGUUGAAAAUUCAAUUGUUUACCAUGGUUCUAUUUUUACGAAUAUAAGUUUCGCGGUUAGAAUAUGUUAUGCAUUAGCUGCAAAAUGGCGAAAAAUAAUCGACAUCAGUUUCUUGUGCCUCAAAGGUAUGGUGUGUUUUAUAGGAUUUUGUGUAUCGUGAAAUUGCAAGGCAAGAGGAAGCUUUGGAAAUAUAAAUAUGACAAUUUUAUUAAGCAUAAUUGUACUAUAUAUUCAACUAUUUAUUGUCAUCUAUCAAAAUGAGGGAAAUCUUGGAAAUAUAAAUAUGACAAAUUUGCUGCUCCCAUCUCUGGCAAAUUCGAUUUGGACCACAAGUGACGAAUUGUUAUCAGGCGACAUCUGGGGCAUCCCUUUCCCAGGAAAAAACUAAUUGCAUAUGAUAUUCGAAAUAUUUCCCUUAAACAGUUGAAAUUUUAAUUUUAUACUGCAUGUGCUUUACCACACCCACACCCUCAAUAUUUUAUUGUUUGAAUAAACAACAAAGACAACAAGAAAAUAAGCUCAAUGGUAGAUUAUUUAUUGCUUUCUGACCUAUACACAAAAAAAAAAAUAAAAAAAAAUGUCAAGUUAUAAUUAAAGUGUGCUCAAUCUUUAACAGUUUAAUUUAACUUUAACUUAAAUUUGCACCAACUCGGCUGAAAUACUAUAUUGUUCGGCCAAAUAUUCUUUUCCAAUAACCUACCAACUUUCAAACAUUUUCCAACGUCGAAAGGAUAAUCAAUUUAUUUCGUUCUCACAUUUACAAUGUUGAAAAAAGAAGACAAUAUUUCAUUUUCACAUUUCUGAUUCUGAAGAAAGGACAAUCAAUUUAUUUCAUUUUCAUAAUUCACUAACAAAAUUCGUAUGGGAAGAAUUCUCUGAAUCGUCUUUCCUAUUCAAAAUAGAUUGAUGUACAAUUAUGAGAUGUUUCUAGUAACAUUCCUAGCAAAAUUGAAAAAAUUGAUAACAACUUAAAAAUACGUUAGACCUUUCUUAUUAUCGAAAACAAAUUGUUGUAUUAAAUUUAUGUUAGGCCAACUUCUAUUUUUCACAUGAUCUUCGUACACUAAAUAUAUAAAGCAAGGGAAAUAAAUAUAUGAAUAAACAUUUUCCAAAGCCAAAAGGAUAAUCAAUUUAUUUCGUUCUCACAUUUACAAUGUUGAAAAAAGAAGACAAUAUUUCAUUUUCACAUUUCUAAUUCUGAAGAAAGGACAAUCAAUUUAUUUCAUUUUUAUACUUCACUAACAAAAUUCGUAUGGGAAGAAUUCUCUGAAUCGUCUUUCCUAUUCAAAAUAGAUUGAUGUACAAUUAUGAGAUGUUUCUAGUAACAUUCCUAGCAAAAUUGAAAAAUUUACUAACAACUUAAAAAUACGUUAGACCUUUCUUAUUAUCGAAAACAAAUUGUUGCAUUAAAUUUAUGUUAGGCCAACUUCUAUUUUUCACAUGAUCUUCGUACACUAAAUAUAUAAAGCAAGGGAAAUAAAUAUAUGAAUACAUAUGGAGAAAAAUACAAAUUUUACAUACUUGUUUGAGCCACAUUAUUUGAAAAAAAUACAUUCUUCAAUAGUGAUUUGACAUCAUUUAAACUAUACAUUUUUUAAUAAAAUAAUAUUAUACACAAAUUUAAAAUAUUUCUUUAUUUUUUAACUACAUAUUUUUAAUCAAUAUACUAUUCAAAAAUACAUUUUCAUUCAAAUAAUAUGGCUUAAACAAGGCAAUUUCAAAGUUGAAGAAAUUGCAGACAAUAUUAUAAUAAACAAUUAAAAAGCAAGAAAAAAUAGUUAACUAAUUAAAAAUAAAACAUGGGGAACCGUGAAAUUGUGGAGCAGCUUUUGAAUAGAGCAGUAAUCUCUUCACCAACUCUGAUUGAGGAUGCAUUGAUAUUUGAACCAAAAUGCAACUUGUCCUUUGUUGUGAAAGAAAUGAAAAAAGAACUCAAAGUGUAUGGGUCUCAAGCCGACCACACAUGAAUAAAAAAUGUUAAAAGUGAUGGCCCUCAUCUCUUCAUGUGUCAAUCUGUCAAAAAGGAUGUAAACACCCUUCUGUACGACCAGCAAGGUCGGAAAGAAAUUUCUAUGUCGAUUUUCAUGAACUCAUAGACAUCAUGAAACUUCCCAAAAUUCUUAUGGUGUCUUUUAGCAAUUUUGAAAUAUUGAGGGAUUAAAGUGAAAAAUUAUUUGGGGCCAACAAAUUAGAUUUUGAUAGAGUGAAAAUAAGUAUAUCAAUAUUGGACUUUUUUUUGUAACUCGAAAUUAAUUAGGAAUCUUGAUCUAAGAAAGAGUUAUUUUGGAUUAGAUCAUAUCAAUUUAAACUCGACUAAAAGAAUAUAAGGUGAAAUGAAGUUGGAAGGAAUUUAAAAUAUUAUUUAAAAUUAAACUUUUUCCUCCUUUUAGCUUAUGCCGAGUUGUUAAUAUGAUAACAUUACUUGAAUACAAUACAAACUCUAUUAUUUGAAGUCAAUUCUUAUCCAAAUUCAUUUUAUUAUACAGUAUUUUAAUUCUAGUUGCAUACACACUCAAUUAAGAAUUUUAACUAUAAAUACUGAAAAAAUUUCAUUAUUUCACCACAGAAAAUAAAGAAAGCUCUGGUAAAGGGAGAGAAGGAUGGGAAAAUGUAUAGAAAAUUAAUAUGAAGAAUUUUUACGUGCAAGAUUUUAUUCUUUUCAACCUGUCAAAAUCAAUGCAAUAUACUUUUGUGCAAAUGGUUUAUUUCCAUAUGUUUUUUAUAUUCAAUUAAAUAUAUAUGAAUUGCCACUGGACUUUCAAGUUCAUUAGAAAGAGAUAUGAAAUCCUACGAAAAAUUUAAUACAACCUAGGAUAUGUAUGUCGCUUGGUUACCAAUAUACUCCAUAAGAUAAUAGUGAUAUAAAGUAUUUAAAUUGAUUGUUAUAUGAUCGUGUGUGGAAACUGUAGGUAUCUUACUGGAUAUUUUUAAAUAGGGUGGGGCAUGGCCCAAGGCCAACUAGGCAAUGGCUUUGGGCCUCAACAUUCUAGAGGCCUCCAAAAAAAAAAAUAAAAAAAAAUGCAUGGGAAAUUUUUCAGUGUACCACGCAAAAAAGGAAAAUGAAAGAAAUACUAAGCUUACCGUGACGAAGAUUUUAUUCCCAAAAUAUUGAAGUUUUGGGUUAAAUUUUCAUAACAAUUGGAAUCCAUCUAUAGCGUUGAUUAUGGAUACUGACAUUAGUUUCGUAAAAAUAGAAAAUCUUUGAAAACAAUUCCAUAAUAAUCAGUCAAAUUGAAUAUGACAAUAAAUUCGUGUAAUUAAGGUCAAAAUUGGGGAGAUCAGAUCUCCAUAACAAUCGGAACCCAUCUAUGUAGUUUUUGUACUUCUAGGUAUUAUUGCAUCAUCUAUUAUUUAUUUAUAAAUACAUAAAGUAAGUAUUUAUUGGUAUGUAAUAUAAAUUUAUGUAUCAUCAUGUGAUAUAUAUUUACGGGAUUUUGAAUAGUUGGUCGAAAACUCUACCGGAAGUACAAAAGAUCAAGACACCAUGUCUAACCAUUAUCAACAAGAUGGUAAUCCAACUUUGAUAUUUUGCUAUUUAGUUUUUAAAUGUUAAAAAAUAGUACAAAAAUGCAUAAUGUAACAUGGUUUCAUAUUCUAUUUUAUUCCAUAAGUUUCUUUGCAUGUUAUGCACCAAUAUGUCAUAGUUGCUUUCUCAAAUCGCAAAUUCAGCAACUUAUAUCAUAUUCCUACACAGUGAUGCAAAGAUUUAUUUAUGUUGAGUAGUAAAAAAUGCAAAACAUUACAUUGUUUCGCAGCAUGUUUAAUUACAUAAGGUAUAUUGUCUGCUCUAAGGGAAUAUGUUAGUGCUUUUUCUCAAAGAUGUGAACACAAUGACAUAUCAUGUUUUGAUACAUUGAUGUGAAUAUUUCCGCGUGUGAGUUAGUACACAAUUGCACAAAGUAACAUAGGAUCCAGGACAUGUUUUAUUACAUAACUUACAUCUUCUAUUGGAAAAUAGGAAAAAGUUAUUGUAGAUUGAGGUAUCGAAGAUCUUUGAGAGAGAGAGAGAGAGCAAGCGAGCAUAAAUAUAUAAAGGUCUCAUAAUUAUUAGUCGCCUAGGAUCUCAAAAUUCUAUGUCGAUUAAUUUUGUUUUCAUUUAUAAAUAUUCAAUGUUCAUUUAGAAAAUUACUCAUGGAAAUUAAACUUUUUUUUCUUAUUUAGAGUUUUUCAACAUAUUAUAAGUGACAAAAAAAGCGAGUGUUGUCAUUAAGUUUUCCUUUUAAUAAAUAAGGAGUAAUAAUUUGUUGAUUAAUCAUGGUUGAUUUUUUAAGUAUAUAUGACAGAAAUUUUGUUCCUUAUUUUUCGUCAUUGUUUUAGUAAUGAUGCCAUUUGAAAAAGUUGAAUGAAAAAAUCGAAUUAUGCAUAAAAGUCCUUUUAUUUUAAACAUUGCAUAUCUGUUUCAGAUAAGAUUAAUUGUGUAAUUAUGACUUCUGCUCAAUUACUAUCUAUUUAGGGGAUAUCAUUUUUAGAAUCAUUGAUCCAUUCUCGAGAAUAAAAAUAUUAUGUUAAACAUCAAAAAUGUAUUUAUUCACAAAAAACGAACUCUAUCAAACCUUAAUCUCUUCAUACAUCACUAGUGAUGGUGAAAUGUGCACAUCGGAAGAAAAGGCACCAAUCAAGUUGGAUAUUUGAGUAGAAAACAUGUUUUACAUUUAAACAAUCUUUUGUCCCGAAAGUUGAGGUAUUUGUUCUAAAUAAAAAAUAAGGAGAGAUGGGCUCCAAGAAAUUAUUAGGGAUUGAAUUGAAUGAAAGAAAAUAUAUGCACUGUUUAAAAUGGAGAAGGACUCCUAAUGCAUAGUUUGAUUGAAACUUCUGCAAGCAGAAAUAGUAAAUAGGACAAUUUUUAUACGAAAAAGGAAAAGGCAAUAAAUUUUGAUAACUAUUGAUGCUCCCUUUAAUUCCGCCCAUCACAUGGCCUGCUGUAAUUGUCUUAAUAAAAGGUUGAAAUAUUAAUGAAAUUCAAUAUUUCGAGAAUCAGAGCAUGAAUAUUUUUGCCUAAUUUAAAAUACUCUCAAAGUUAAUGGUUUACUGUGGUUCUAUUUUUACAAAUAUAAGUUUCACGGUUAGAAUAUGCUAAUGCAUAAGCUGCAAAAUGGGGGAAAAAAAUCAAUAUCAAUUUCUUGUGUCUCAAAGGUAUUGUAUGUUGGAUAAUUCUAAGCAUUAGGUACAUCUAGCAUAAUCCAUGUAAAGCAUUAGAUAAAAAAAAUUAAGUACAUCUAGCAUGGUCAUUGUAUGUUUUAUGGGAUUUCGUGUGAGUGAAAUGGCAAGGCAAGAGGGAAGUUUUGGAAAUAUAAAUAUGACAAAUUUGUUGAUCAUAAAUUUCUUAUAUGUUCAAUAAUUUAUUGCCAUCUAUCAAUAAAUAAAUAAAAAUAAAAAUAAAAAGGAAAAUUCUAGAAAUGUAAGUAUGACAAAUUUGCUACUCCCUUCUUUGGAAUAUAAGAAUUUUUUACCGCAAAUAUCAUGGCACAUUCGACUUGGACAUUAAUAGGUGCACCACAUGUGACGAAACGCUAUCCAACCAUAAAUGCUCCAUCCCUUUCCUAGGCAAAACUAAUUGCAUAUGAUAUUCCUAAUAUUUCGAUCUCGAGUACUGUUAUAACCCUAGAACUUGUUUUCCAUUUUUAUUUAAUUUUAAAAUCAAAUACUUGAGUAGGCAAUGUGUUUUGAAAUUAACCAUUCUGCCUUGAAAGUCGAGAGUUAUUUGUGAUUUUUUUGAUUAAAAACAAGAAGAGAUUGGGCUCAAAUAAAUUAUUAGGGACUGAAUUUAAUGAAAUUGAAAAGUUCUAAACAUAUUGUCGGCACUUGUUAGAAAAAGUUCAUGACCAAAAUAUGAAAAAGAUAAAAGUUAGGCACUUUUACCCCCAGUUGAGCAACCAAUUUCGUAGACGUCCUAUGGAAAUUGGAUAACGAGACCUUCAUUUUGGUACCCAUUUUGUAUUUUUUUUUCUAAACCUAAAUUAGUACUUAAUGCCUCCAAGCCGUACGUUUUGCUUUCUCUAUCAUGAAUGCUUCAAACUUGCUCUAGAAAUUGAUUUGUUGAUUGUUAAUAAAUUUAGAAUAUUUGUUACAUAUCUUGGAAUAUUUGAAAGGAGGGAAUAAAUUUGAAUCGUAAGUGAAUGUGAACAAGCAUUUCAAGCCCUAAAAGACAACUUGGGAAAAGCCUCCUUAUUAGCUAAACCAAAAAAAGGAAAAAGCUAUUGCUAGUAUUAGCUGUCUCCAAGGUUCAAUAUUGGUAAAAGAGGAUGCGUAAUAACAAUUACCGGUAUAUUAUGUAGUCAAGCCCUAUAAGGAGUAGAGGCAAGAUAUCCAGACAUGAAAAAGUUAGCCCUCGCCUUAGUUACGACAUUACAAAAGUUGCAACCUUACUUAAAAAGCCAUAGUAUUAAUGUAUUAACAAAUUUUCCACUUAGGCAAUUAUUGCAGAAGCCCGAUUCAUAAAGAAGGCUAAUCAGGAAGCAGAACUAGGACAGUUUGAACUAAGUUAUAAAGAACAUUUUACGAUCAAAGCACUGGCGUUAGCCGACUUUGUAGAAGAAUUGUCUAAUACUCCUAUUUCAUAUGAAGAGCUCAAACAAGAAACCUGGAAACUAUUAGUGGAUGGACAUUAGGGUAUACUAACUCAGGAGCGGAUAUUAUAUUAACAAGCCUAGAAGGGCACAAAUUGAACCGCAUAUUGAGAUUUUCAUUUACAUCAACCAACAAUGUAAUUGAAUACGUGGUGUUAUUAGCAGGCCUACAAUUAGCAAAAGAAAUGUAGGCGCAGAUAAUUGAAAAAAAAAAAAGCGACUUGUAAUUGGUAGUAAACUAAGUUAAUGACAAGUUUGCAACCAAAGUCAAAACUAAGUCUAUAUACCUCGCAGAAGCUACAAAAUCACUUCAGUGUUUUGAAUAGUUUGAACUUGUCCAAAUUCCUAAAGAGGAAAAUGAACAUGCAGAUGUCUUAACAAUAUUAGCAAGCUCAAAAGACAUGGAAUUGUUCAAAACGGUUCUCGUAUAAUUGCUCUCAAACCAUUAGUGGACCAAAAAAGAAGUAAUCUAUGAAAAGAAAGGCUUCGUGGAUGAAAGAUAUGAAUUCUUACUUGAAGGGUGAAAUGUUACCUAAAGAUAAAAAUGCAGCACAAACAUUACGAAUAAGAGCUGCUAGGUACACGUUGCAUGGUAACAUCCUAUUCAAGCAAGGAUAUACGAUUUCUCUACUUAGAUACAUAACAGAGGACGAAAACCUAUAUGUAAUGAAAGAAAUCAACAAACCUAUAUAUGGUAUUCAUAGUAGUGGACACCCUCUAAAGCAAAAAAGCCUUGAUACAGGAAUAUUAUUGACUGAAUAUGAGGAAAAAUUGAUGAAUUUUGCCAAGAUAUGUAACAAAUAUUAAAGGUUCCAUCAACAUUCUUAACCUUAAGUUACAUGCGUUUAGUUUAUAUACAAAGCGUAAUUAUUGGAAUAAUAAAGUGAACUUAUAUGUUUUGUUUGAUUAAAUAAGUAACUUAUCUAUUUUAAUUUCAAAUUACUGAAAAAAUUGCUUAAAAUUUAUUCAGACGUCAACUCAUGUAGCAUUUAGAUAUUUGACUUUUAGCUUUCAUAAAAAAAUGGGUGUUAGAGUAGCGCCAUUCAAUUUUUAUUUAUUUAUUUAUUUGAAUUUUAACAAGGGAUCUAUAAAUUUAAAGAAAAAAUUUAUACGGUUAAAAAUUUAUACACAAAUUAUCGUCGACGACAAAAGGAUGAGAGUAGGUGAAGUUGGCAUGUAAAAUAUUUUCCAUCUAGCCAUCUUCCUAUUCCCAUGUAAGGAGUAAAACGGUUGCAAAUUUUAUUUUAUAUGGUACUAAACAAAGAAACCUUAUGUUUGGCCAAAACUCCACUAAAAUUUUCUUUUCAUAUUAAUGUAUAUAAAAAUAUUUUUUACAAGAGAAUAUAAAAAACAUUUACAAAUUUAUCACUACUAUAUAAAAAAAGGCAAUGUUAGUUUACUGUAGAAAGAACAGUAGAUUCUUUCAUUUUCACACACUAUAGCAACUUUUUUUUUUCAUCUCUCGAGCAAAAACGAUGCCGUCUGUAAACCAAAAAAAGAAAAAAAAAAGAAAAGAAGGUGCAGGCUACAGUGAUACCCACUUGUCCUCAACUUAGGUGAUCUUUCUUUCUUCUUCUCCAUUUUCAGACGCUACCUGUUCUCUCCAUUUUACCAUGCAAAUUAUUUUUUGUAUAUUUUGUAUGGAUUGAUUGGGGUCUGAUUGUUCUAAAUUUUAGUUCUUAUUGUUGUUUUUUUUAAUUGAAAUUUGUGGACAGCAGUUCAAUUUCAUUUAACAAAGUUUGAUUGAUUUUUUUCUUGCGUUUUGUGUAAAUUGGUUUCAUUUCAAAUUUUUGCUGUUGAUGUUUUAUAUUGCUUAAUUUUAGAUAUUUGGGAAUCAUUGAAAUGUGGAUGUAAUAGAUUGGUAAAUAAGAGAGUAAAUAAAAUUGGGUGUAGAAAUAGUAGAAUAGAUUAACACGGGUUAUAGAAAUGGAUAAUAUGUUACCGAAAAAGUCUGAUCUUACUCUUCCCAAAAACAAAAGUGAGGAGAAAAAAAUUAUUGAACUAUCGACACGAGUGACUAUUUGAUCUAACACGUUUCACACAUUAUUUGAUUGCACUCAAAAUGUUACGAUUGGAAAUGUGAUUAAUAUGUUUAUCAUUUUUUACAUUUCUGCUCAUUUGAAUGAUUUAUAUAAUAUUUGUAUAUAUAUAAAAAAUUGAUUUGUAUUUUAUGUAUUUAUUUUAGGAAUAUUAAAAAAAUUAAGUUGAUUAAAUGAAAUGAAAUUGUUAUAUUGAGAGCCAAUAAAGGAAAAAAAAGGAAAAAAAAGAAAAAAUAAUGCACGUUACGGAAGCUUAAGCACACAUGAGCCUCCAUAUUAUGGAGUCUUUCACCUCCAUAAUACGGAGGCUAUAUGUUAUGGAGGAUUUCCUCCAUAAAGGCCUCAAUCAAUAUGGAGGCUUUCCUCCAUAAAGCCUCCGUAAUAGAGCAUCCGUAUUACCUUCCAUAAUAUUUAUUUUUUAUUUUUUUUAAUGUAUACUAAUUUUUUUUUAAUAUUGUUGGCAUGAUGCGUGUGUGGAAGAAUAUUUGUUAAUAAUCAUAAACAAAAUUCUUCACAAAAUGUAAAAAGUAAAAAUAUAUAAUAAAUCUUCUUAUUACACUAAUAAAAUUACAAUAAUUUUUUUUUACUAAUAACAUAAAAAAAUUAUUUUUAUUUUCAACAAAAAAACACAUUUAAAAAUUAGCAAUUUUAUGACCACUUUUUUUUUUUUAUUUUCGGAAAUACAAUUAUAAAAAAUGAAACAAUAUUGAAUUACAACAUUUAAUACUUAAGAAAUUUAAUAUUAAAUAAAUUUUAUACAUUUAUAACAAAUUAUAAAUUCAUAUAUGCAGCUUAUCGUAUUUGCAGGCAGUUUACCGUAUAUGCUGCAUACCGUAUUUGCAAACAACUUACCGUAUUUUGCACCUUACCGUAUAUGAUGCAUACCGUAUUUGCAGCUUACUAUAUUUGCAAAUAACUUACCGUAUUUUCACCUUACCGUAUAUGCUGCCUAUUGUAUUUGCAACUUACCGUAUAUGCUGCCUACCGUAUUUGCUGCUUACUGUAUUUUUAUAUAUCGAUUUUUGCACUUAUAAAUACCGAGAAUGUAGAACACCGUACAUUCACUUACCAAACCGAAUUUCAAAAAAAAAUUUCAGAUUUUUAUUUUUUCAACAUAAGUAAAAAAUAAAUAUUAAAUAUAUAUGAAGCACAAAAUAUAAAUACAUAUGAAUAUGGUGCUGAGAGAAAUCAAUAUCGUAGUUUUACGUUACAAAUAAUUUUUUUUCAAUUUAAAAUUCUUUUUAGUUCUUUUCUCUUCAAAUGUUUUUAUUUACAAGUAACUUUUUGUAAAAUAUUUUCUGACUAUAUUUAUUUUUUAAUUUUUUGGGAGGUAUGGAAAUUGCGUAUUGCAGUGUUUUCUUACAGUAUAAAUAUUUUUUAAUUAAAAUUGAAAAAAAUAAAUUUUUUAUAAAGAAAAAAUAAUUAAAAAGUAUUUUAAAUCGAAAAAAAUAUUUAUAAUAUGAACAAAACAAAUAAAAAAUAAAUAAAUGAGAAAAAAAAUAAAAAAUGAAAAAGAAAUCUCCAUGCAUCCUGCGCUAAUGUAAUGAACCAAAUGAUUAAAUUUUACCAAAUACUUCGAAUCUUCAACCAAUUUUUAAAAAUCUACAAUUUUGACGCUAAUAAAAAUACAAUAAAUACAAAACUCGUACAACGCACAUGUCAAAGACUAGUUAUUAUAAAAAAUUGAACAGAACAAAAUACCUUUUAAUUAAAAAUUACAAAUCACGUCUAUACAUUGAUUUAUUCAACGCUUUACAUGCUAUUUAUUUAAUUUUUUAUUAUUCUUUAAAAUCUAUUACUAAAAAUAGAUGAUGUAUUAUUCAACGUUUUUUAGCAUAUGAACUAAUAUUAAAUGUUUUUUUUAAACAUGGGUUAGUAAAUUUAUUAUCUUCCUUUCUUUAAACUACAACUUGAAAAAGAAAAAAUAAAUAAAUUUUCGUCAAUGAAUAAUGUGUUGGAAAAAAAAAUAGCAAAAAAUUCAUUAAAAUUUUAUUAUUAAAUGGAUUGAUGAAAAUUGUUUGUUGUCAUCAUUUACUAAGUAAGAGCAUCUACAAGAGACUUUGUAAAUACAAGAUGCUCAAUACUUUAAAGAGAUAAUAGCUCACAAAACAUUUUAUUUUAACUUUUUAAAAUAGAGAGUCAAACUCAUCUAUAUUUUAAAUUUAUAAUUAUAGCGUUUAAUAAAUUGCAGAUUUCAAUAUUCUACUCUCAAUAAAGAAUGAACUAUAUAUUAUGAAUGAUUUUACUAAUCCAUAAACAUAUCAAGAUAUCCAAUUGACUUAAAUACAAAGGUAAAUUGACAAUCAUCAUUUAUGCUUGUGUAAUUUAUUAUUCAUCGGUGCUUAUGAGAUCAUUUCUGUGUGUGUGUGUAUUCACCAAAUUAAAUUCAACACCAAAUACUAAAUUAUGUUUGGGAAAAAAUUUUGUUCAAAUAAGGAAUUCACCGAUUCAUUUCAAAGUAUUCUGUGUUUUUUUUUUCCCGCUUAUUCGACAAUUUUUUACCCUUAGCCUUUUUUUCAUAUGAUACUUGUCAUUUCUCAAAGAUCAACUAUUGGUAGGCAUAUUCACGCUAGACAAAGGGUUAAAGAAAGAGAAAUAGCUUUAACAAAAAGACUAAAUAGAUUGGUAGUCACCAAUCGUGCUUUCAACGUUUCCAGUAUUCUAUCUCAAUCUUGUUUCUUACUCUAUUUGUAGUUAUAGCUAUAAUUAAUCAAAUCUGCAUUUGUUUUUGUUAACUAUUUUCCUAUUAGGGAGCGGUUUGUCAUUAUAUAUCUACGUUUUUUUUUAUUGGGAUUAUCUAAUAUUAUGUUCAUUGUCAUUGUAUUUUAAUUAAACUCCUUAAAAUGGAAUAAAUUAAAUGAUUUGGAUACAUCUUCUACUUGAAUCAAAUUAUAAAGAAAAGAACACCAACUAAAUCCAUUUUUUGAGUCAAAUGAUUUGAAGCCAUUUUAAUUGUUAUUAUAAUUAAAGAAAAUACGAAUAAAAAUGAUAUUCUAAUUAAUAAAAACAUAUAAGCCAUAUUCUUGUCAUAAAUCAUUAAAUGGUGCACUAUGUACAUGGGAAGAAAAUGGAUCAACAAAGAGGUUAAAAAGAUAUGACAAUUAGAUAAUAAUUUCAUUUAGUGCAAGUCCAUUUCCAUUAAACGCGUUUCAAAUUAAAGCUCCCUGGGAACAAGUCACUCUUAGGGUUUCAUGCCAAUCUUGACCCCAUAUUAUAGAAAGAAAUAGAGUUAGGUCAAGUAAAUAGAUUGCAGGAGAAGGUAUUAUAACAACUUUAACAUUUAUUGUACUUUAAUGCUUGAUGGAGAGAAAUGAUUAAAGAAAAAUAUUGUUAUGAUCAAUAACUUUUACUAAUGAGGUUUCCAACAUGAUUCCAAGCUACAGCUAGAGGUCAACCAAUCAAAUGAGGUAUUUCUAUAAAAAAAAGUAUGCUGUUAAUAAUUUUUCUAACCUGUAAACAUAUCAAGAAAUCCAACGAAAAAAAAAAAAUUGGGUGCGAAACUUGUAUAAAAAAUACUAUAGAUAUUAUAUAGAAAGAUAUUACCUCUUACCUUCAUUGAAUUUCUAGCUAAUUUACGUACCUGACGUUGAAAUGGAAUUCAAAUUUUUGUUUUAGCCAUGCAAAAUAAGCAAAUUAUAGUACGAAAAUAUAAUUUAUUAGAUUUUAAAGACAAUUUUUUUUUAAUUUUUUAGAAAAAGCUUGGGGCAAUCGAAAUGUAGAGUUGAAAAGUACUCGAAUAGCUUGUACUUUAAUUGGGUAUUAAACAAAUCUACACAAAAUGUGUAAAAAACAUUUGUAAAAGAAUUUGAGGCAUUUUCAAGAAUGUCCAAUUUUAAGGGUUUGAGUUGAAAAGUGUUUAUUUAUUUGAAUUUAGUGCCAACUUGUCUAUCAUGUCCUUAAUGGAAAAAUGGAGCAAUUGAAUGUCAUUCUUGAUAUUUGAUUUUUUUUUUUUCAAUUUGUCAUGAAUUUCGAGAAGUAUCUUUCAUGAGAAGUUACAUUAAAAUAAUGUUUCUCGACAUUUCAUAUGUCAUUCUCGACAUUUGUACACCGCUUCAUUUGUCUAGAAUGACAUUUCAUUUUGAAUAUGACAUUUCUGUAUAUUUGAAAUGUAAUUCUCGACAUUUCUGAGUCAAUGAAAAACAUAGUAUUUAUUGUGAUUUGACAUCUAUGCUUUUGAAAUAAAUAUGGCAGGUUAUGUAUCAAAAUUUUAUUGGUCAAUAAUAAUUUUGCAAAAAUAUCCAUUUUUUUUUGUCUUAGUGUGGAAUUAUAAAUUGUUAAUAAGGGUAUUUUAGUCUAAAUUCUUCCAAACUAGACAUUUUUGUAAUGGUGGACAUUUUUGUAAAUGACUAGAUAAAAAUGGACAUCCUGUAAAAUUUCCUCAAAGAAUUUUAAGGGUGGUAAAUAUCAACAAAUUUCCUCAAGCAUGAUCCAUACAUUACCUUAAUGCGUGUGGAUCAUCCCCAGCUCUUACCAUUUAUCAAUUAACAAAGUUUUUACAGAUAUUUGUCAAAUAAAGAUCAAUUCUCCUAUUUAGGUCGAAAACACUAUUGUGUGUGUAUAUAAUUUGGCAAAUUUUUUACGCUUAACCUUUUAUCGUUUUUUUAUGAUAUUUGUCAUUUUUCGAAGAUCAAUUAUUGGUAGACGUUUUCAAGCUAGACAAAGGGUUAAAGAAAGAGUAAUAACUUUAACAGUUCACUUAAAAAGACUAAAUAGACUGGAAGUUGCCAAUCAUGCUUUCAACAGUUUUAGUACUCUAUCUCAAUAUCCUUUCUUUCUUUCUUUGUAGUUAUAGCUUUAAUUAAUUAAAUCUACAUUUGUUGUAAUUAAUCAUUAACAUUAUGUAUCUAUGUUUUGUUUUCUUGGGAUUAUCUAAUAUCAUAUCCAUGUCAUUGUAUUUUAAUUAAACUCCUUAGAAUGCAAUAAAUUAAUUGUUUCGGUUAUAUCUUCCACUUGAAUCAAACUAAAAGGAAAAAAAAAAUACUAAUUGAAUCCAUUUUGUGAGUCAAUUAAUAUGAAGCCAUUUUAAUUGUUAUUAUAAUUAUAGAAAAUACAAAUAAAAAUGAAAUUCUAAUUAAGUUUUAUAAUAAUACAAGGUGUGAUGGUGUGACUUUUCUGUUGGAUUUCUUGAUAUGCUUACGGGUUAGUAAAAUCAUUCAUAGAUACCUUUUUUUAUCGAAAUACCUCAAUUGAUUGAUUGAUCUUUAGCUAUAGCUUGGAGACAUGUAUGGAAACCUCAUUAGUAAAAGUUAUUGAUCAUGACAAUAUUUUUAUUUAAUCGAUCAUUUCUAUCCAUCAAGCAUUAAAGUACAACGAAUAUUGAAGUUGUUAUAAUACCUUCACCUAUAAUCUAUUUACUUAACCUAACUCUAUCUGUAACUCUUGAUUGAUCUAUUUUCUUCCCAUGUGCAUAGUCCACCGUUGAAUGAUUUAUGAAAAGAUUAUGGUUUUAUAGGGUUCUUAUUAAUUUUGUAACUGAAUUCAAUGUUUUGAUGUUUAAAUUAAUCUUUAUAUUUUUUAAAACGGACUCGCCAAUCUAAAGAUGAUGUCACAAAAAUAAAGAGUAAUUUUACCUUAAAGUGUCAGAAAUAGUAACUUAACUAAAGUCUUAAUUAAACAAUUAAUUUUGGUUAAAAAAUAUCUGCAAUGUUUAAAAUGGAAAAGUACUCCUACUACAUUAAUAGAUUGAGACUUCUACAAGUAGAAAGAAUAAAUAUAAUAGUUUUACUAGGAAAAUAAAUUACAACAAAUUUUUACCUCUAUUUAUUCUCUCCUUUAAAUCUUAGCAUCACAUGGCCCACUUCGAAUUGUUGUAUUAAAUUUGACAUAUUUAUGAAAAAUUAUUAUUAUGAGAAUUGAAAUAUAUGAGUAUUUUGAACUAUUUCUUUAACCUAAAAAUAGAAAAAAAUAAAAAUAAUAAAAAUAGACGGUAAGUUUACUGAUGAAAGCAUGAACUUUUUUGCUUAGUUUCUAUUAUUUUUUGACGUUGAAGAUUUAUUCGUUUAUUUUAGUUUUACUUUUACACAUAUAAAUUUGUCGUUUAAAAUAUAUUAAUGCAAAAGCUGCAAGAUGAUGAAAGGAAAAAAGAAAAAAAAACGUAAACAUCAAACGGAAUCCAAUUGCUUUCUUAAUAUUGAAUUCUUGUGACUCAGAUGUAUUGAAUGUUUCUUUAUGGGAUUUUGUGUAUUAUGAAAUUGCAAGGCCAAAGAAUUUUUUUUUUUGCUUAUUUUUCUAAUUUGGGGACACGAUAUUUAUUUAGUUCAUAUUUUAGAUGUUAAAAUUUAUAGAUGUUGAAAUUUACAGACCCAAUUCAAACUUCAAUAAAUCAAUAUUUGCUUUCUCUUUAAAUAUUAAGGUUUGAGGUUCCAUCUUAAAAUGUUAAUCUUGUUAAGGGAAGUAGCUCAAAAUCUUAUAAGUUGGUCUAUAUUUUCAUCAUUAUUCGAUGUAGGAUUAUAUUCCUUAACAUGCCUUUGCAAGAUGGUGGCUCGUUUGAGCAUACCAAUCUUGAAAUUCAUAUGCUCAUUUAUUGAGUCUUAAUCGAAUCAAGUUACUUGUUGGAGCUUAAUGAGCUCUGAUAAGUUGGUCUAUGUUUUCGUUUUUAUUCGAUAUGAGUUUAUAUUCAUUAACAUUAACCGUCGACAUGGGUUAGAAAUUUAAAAUUGUCCAUGGAGAUGAUUUGAGCUUAAAUUCAAGGCAAUUUGUAAGUUGCACUAUAUAUGUUUUGAGAGGAAAACUUAGUGUCAGAGAGUAGCUUCCCAAUUGAAUUUCGAGCAAUUUCCAAUUUCAUGUGAUAUCUAUCUUUCUCUCUCUUACUAAAUUCUAACCUAACAGCAAGUGUAGCAGGUUAGAUUGUGGUUAAUUAUUUUAUUUCAGUGAUUUAGGAACCAAACAUUUGGGGAAACAAAUAAAUACUUUUUGAGGGAAACAAGUUUAAUUUAGGGAAACAAUAAAUGUCUUCACCUACAUGCCUUUAAACUGCGUUGAAGAGCAAUAAAUGCUUUUUGAGGGAAACAAGUUUAACUAAUUGAACUUGUAUUGGGAAGGUAGCCAUACAUAUCUUCAAGCUACAUGCCUCUAAACCAAGCUGUUGAUGUGAUUUGUAUGAAGAGGUACACUUUACUAUUAAUGCUUUUAAUGACUCGUAUACAUUUCAAGAAAUCCAGUUGGAAAGUCAUAAAUGCUACACAUAAGGUAAAUAACUCACCCUAUUUCGAGAAAAGUAACUCCCCAUCCCGCGAUUAGCUCAAAAAUAUUAUGAUGUUCUAUUUCAUGUGUAAAUAAUUAUUUUUAAACGGAAUAUAUAUGCUAUUUGUACAUAAUGCGAUGCCUAUAACGUUAUUCACCUUUUCAUAUGGAGGGGGACCCACGGUACGUACAGCAUCACCCUUUUUAGUUAACGCUACUGAUUGAUUAUAAAGUUUGAAGAAUUAGCAUUUCAUUUAUUCUUCUUCUUCUUCUUCUUCUUCUUAAUUGUAAUGAACUGGAAAUGUUUUCACAAUACUUGAUUUGAAAAUGGAUUUGCAUUGUGCUCUUGUCUUAUAAUUUGAUUCAAGCAGGUGAUUUAUUCAAAUCAAUUAGUUGGUUGCACUAUAGGGAGGUUGAGAGGUAAAAAUCCUACGUCUUUCAAGAAAAUGACGUCGUGGAGUAUGUAGCAAUAAAUUAUUGGGCAUUUGUUUGUUGGAUUACCAUGCAUCUCUAGUAAGGCUGACGUCCUGUGAUCACUACUGGAGGUGGAAUCUAAGCCAAUAUUGUGGUGUUUCUAAUGACUUAAGCAUUGCGAGAAUUGAAAAUUAUGCCAAAAACUAAAAAUUUAGAGUCGAUUAUAAUUCUCGGUGUCAUUCAAUUUAAUUAAGUUCAUCAAAAGAUUAAUUAAACUAACUAACAAUCACAAUAAUCGGGAUGGAUUAAUAUAAUUAGAUAACACUAGACAAAAUUAUGUAAGGAUGUUAAUAUUUCCUUUAUAAUAUUGAUGAUCCACCACAAGACACUGUCCUAGAAAUCUAAUGUACCUUGGUAGCUUGAACAAGAUUCAUUCAGAUUUUGUGUUACUAACGUGUCGUCAAAAUAGAAACCUAGGACUAGGAUAACUAAAAUGGAAGAGAAAAAGGGAUUUUAUGGUGGAGUGGAUUGGGGCUAUUCCUUCACGUGCAAAUUUAAGUUAAAUUGAACUGUUAAAAAUUGAUCACACUUUAAUUAUAACUUGUCAUGUUUUGUUCUCUUUUGUGUAUACACCAGAAAAAAUAGUCUUUGUCAUUGAGCUUAUUUUCUUCUUGUCUUUGUCAUUUGUUCAAAUGAUAAAAUAUUGAGGGUGUGGUAAAUCAUAUGUAUUGGCAUAUUGGAGGGGUAGGGUGCUAGAGAGAGCAUAUAUUUGUUACAAGUUCGUAUAUAGCAUUAGUCCAUCAUUUCUUCAAUUUUUAAAUUAAUUAUGAAAAUUUUUUGCUAUUUUUCUCCAUAUAUAUUCAUAAAUGUUGCGGAAGCUCGCUCUAACAAUAUUCAAAUUAGUGUUUUUGGGACUUAGUUUAACAUAUCUUUCUCUACCAAACAACUAAACCCACCGGCUCCAAUCAACAACCAAUAUAUUUACCUCGAUUGCUAUUUAAUCUUACCCACAAAACAAAAGAAAACGGUGAUAACUUGAGGCCACAAGACAAAGAGAAAACACCACAAAGGUAGGCUAUGAAGAGACCACAAAACACAAAGUUUAAAUCAACCAGUUUCUGGACACACAAAGGAGGCCGGUUUCUCUCUUCAAAAGGGGCAGCCAAGUUCUCUUCUUCACACACACAAAUCAUACAAGAAAGUGGUUAGGGUUAUAACCUUAUAAAUAGAAUAGGAUUAGGCUUUAAGUUGGACCUAUAAGAAAGCUAAACUGGCCAAGAUUUAAAUCAUCUAAGAGGGAAUACAAUUGGGUCGGAUAGAGUCUAUGGACUUGAUUGUUGAACUAAUUUCAUUUAUCAGCCUUGGCCUAUGAAAUAUAUUAUCCCACGUUAAUAUCAUAGCUCGGAAUUUAUUGGGUAUAAAAAAACCCAACAAUAUAUAUUUCUCUCUAGUAAUAUAUUUUGAGUACAAAGAUCAUGUGACCAAAUGAUGUUCUUCUAACACAUUAUUGACUUCAUACACGUAGAGUAAUAACUAGAAUUUUUAUAUUUAUGCAUUAACAAUUGAAUGAUGAGAGCACGUGAAUAUAUAUGAAGUAGUUUAAUUAAUUCAUGUAUCUACAUGUGUGAAAAUGGAAAGCAACAAUGAUAUGAUGAUGGUUUACUUCAUAUAACAAAUACUUUAUAAUAAAUUAUAAAGUGCAUGAAUGUGAUAAUUUUUUUUUAUACAAAUAUAUGGGGAGACGACUUGUCAAAAAUAUACUCAUUGUUACAUGAAUAAGUGUUCAAUAGCAAACCAUUAAUAAGUGUUCAAUAGCCUCGGAGAAUCACCUCAAUUUUAUACUUUUUACCUUGUAAAAAUGAUCUUGUAUCUAAUUGCUACGGUUUGAGGUACAUCCUAUGACUUCCACUCAUUGUUUAUUGUUAUAUUAGCAUUAACUUUCUCCUCAUUCUAAUUUUAUCAUCCAUCGUUCUUUAGAGACAUUUAUUGACAUUUAUUAGUCAUUGUCAUAAGAAUCUACCAAACCCCCUCCCCCAUAUGUGUGUGUGAGUAUAUAUACACGUAGUUCCAUUUGUCACACCACCUCGGCCAACCAUGUUGCUCUGGCCGGCGAGUAUGAAGAUACUCUUUUCAUUAGUUGCACAUACUAGAAAUUCAGAAGUUUGGAACUGAAAGGCAGCCAAGAAGGAUAGAAAACAAAAUCAAAUUUUCAGUUUGUUAGAGAAAAAAGUUAAAAGAGAUGUUUCCUUCAAUGAUUUUCAUGUUCUUGGUUACCUUUCAGUUCCAUAGUUUUGAAUUUCUAGUACGUGCAACCGAUGAAAAGAGUAUCUUCAUACUCGUCGGCCAGAGCAACAUGGCUGGCCAAGGUGGUGUGACAAAUGGGACUUUGGAUGGUUGUGUCCCUCAUGAAUGCCCGAUUCUUAGACUUAACACAGAGCUGAUGUGGGAGGAAGCACAUGAACCUCUACAUAGAGGCAUCGACACAAAUAAAACUGGUGGGAUGGGACCGGGAAUGUCAUUUGCAAAUUCAGUGCUGGAAAGAGAUCUUUGCCUUGGGGUGAUCGGUUUGGUCACCUGUGCUUCGGGUGGAACCAAUAUAACCGAGUGGAAACGAGGCUCUGAUCUUUAUAAUCGGCUCUUGAAGAGAGCUAAUGCAGCACUACGAGAUGGAAGAAAAAUUUGAGCAAUUCUGUGGUAUCAAGGUGAAAGUGAUUCUACAG